AUAAUGUUGUUUUCCUACCAUCCGGCCACCAUCCUGAGGUAGGAAAAUAUGUUCCUAACUGAUAGGGCUCGAACCUAGGGCCCCCAAGCACAAAGGAACCACUAGACCACGAGCCUCUCAACACCAGUACAGAAUUCUCAUGGUGAGUAUAGAUUUCAAAGAUUAGUUUAGAAUUUCAGUUACAAAAAUGAAAUAUAUAAAAACUUGGAAUGACACAUAUGGAAGAUGGCAAGGCUCGAUUAAAGAUGUCGCAAAACUCACAAAUGAGAGUCUAGAGGAACACUUACUCAGUGGCUAAUAACUCUUCACAUAGAACCCUUAUCAUUUCUAGUCCACGCUUUACCCUCAAAAGGUUUCUUGUAUGACUACCAACUUUCCUAACACAUUUUGCCUCAAUAUCUCUAUCAACCAUUGCCUCUAACGUCAAUGUUGAGGGUGAUGCCUUGGCAAGAUCAUUAACCUAAACAAAGAUUUUAUUUCAAUAUUUUCAGCCAGUUAGUGGGAACACAAUGAACAAUUCGUAAAGAAAAGACACGAAGAAAAAAAAAGAAUCUAACAUUUCUAUACAGAAAUUUAUAUUCUGUAUAACAAUGUCUUCAAUAUAUUUCAUGAAUACUACUCUCGGCGCCAGAACAUAUAUACCUUGGAAACAUAGUCAUUCUCGGCAAACUUGAAGGCAGGUUUAAGGACGGUAAAUAUGAGAAAGAAGCGAGAGCAAGCGUGAGAAAACAGCUUCACAGGCACGUCCGAAUUUGGCGUAUUCACAAUGACCGCUAGUUCCCCGAAUGCGUCUGCGAUUUCCUUGAACUUCAUCGCUAAUGGCUCCUCUCUCCCACUCUCUCUGUCUCUAAUUUGGUUUCUUCUAUAUAUGGGCUGUAAAUGGUAACAUGUAUUUGUGGAAUUCUUGAGUAAUUCAUGUGGAAAAAAAAACAUGUUUCAUCAUUUGUAUCUGUGGAAUUUUUGUGAAAUUUUUGAUAUUUUAUUAUAGUAGUCCCACUUUAUUCUUUGAUUUAUUGAAUUAAUCAAAACUUUAACAAAUAGAAAACAAGCAAAUGUUACGAGAGGGAAUCAUACAACAAAUAUGACAAUGUGUGAUGCUUUUCAAUUUUGAUACGUUUCAUCAUUUGUGGAAAAAAUACAUGUUUCAUCAUUUGUAUUUGUGGAAUUUUUGUGGAAUUUUUUUUAUCUUUUAUCUUAGUGGUCUCACUUUAUUCUUUGAUUUAUUGAAUUAAUCAAACUUUUAACAAAUAGAAAACAAGCAAAUAAUAUGAGGGGGAAUCAAACAACAAAUACGUAUGACAAUAUGUGAUGCAUUUCAUUAGUAAAUUUUGAUACGUUUCAUCAUUUGUGGAAAUAAAUUACAUGUUUCAUCAUUUUUAUUUUGUGGAAUUUUUGAUCUUUUAUCAUAGUGGUCCCACUUUAUUCUUUGAUUUAUUGAAUUAAUCAAAACCUUUAACAAAUAGAAAACAAGCAAAUAAUAUGAGAGGGAAUCAAACAACAAAUAUGACAAUAUGUGAUGCAUUUCAUUAGUAAAUUUUGAUACGCUUUUUUUGAAUAAUGUAUUUUGAAGUCUGUUUUCAGGAACUAAUAAUUUUUAAUAUUUUUGAUAUUUUUUAUUUUAUUUUAUUUUAUUUUGUGGAUAAUCUUGGAUGUUCGAGUAUUUGGUUCGAUUUCAAUUAUGUAAUUUUUGGUUUUGGAUAUUUUAGUUCUCGAGUUAAGUAUAUAUACAUUCGGUUAUUUUAGAAUUUCGGAUAACAUUUGGUUCGGUUCCGAAUAUUUCGGAGCAUUUCGGUUUUUUGAAUGAAGAACAAAAAAAAUUUCGAAUAUUUUUUAGUUCCGGUUCUUACCCAAACAACAUUUCGAAUAUUUUUGAGAAACUUUAAGAUACUUUUAGUGUAUUGUAUUUUUUGGUUAUUUGGACUUUUUAUUAUUCAGUAUAAAACUAACUAAUGUUUUAGAUAUAUAAUUGUAUUUCGGUUUUAUUGAGGUAUCCAAAAUAUUUUGGUUCCGAUUCUUUCGGGAAUGAAGUUUAAUAUCCAUUUGUUUUCUUUGUCAGUCUCGGUUUGGUUUUGGCGAAAUAUUUCUCUAGCUAAUAAUUUUAGAAGUUUAGUCUAUUAGAUUUUUUAAAUAUUCAGCCAUAUUCAACAGUUACCAUUUGAACUUUAAAUUAUUCAGUCAGAUCCCGCAGAAAAACACAAAUAUAUUCAGCCAGUAUCAGCAAUUCAGUUAGAUUUAAUCAGAUUCCUCGGUUACCAUUUAAACCCAUGAUUUUUCAUAUGAUAUGAGAGAAACCUUAAAAGUGCCAACUUGCCAAUAAUAGUUUUAUAGUUUUUAUUUUGUCAAUAGCAUAUUCUGUGGCCGACAACGAUAAGACAACACCAUCAAACAAUCAGACUUUUUUUUUUUUUUUCUCAAACACCACUUCUAUUAAGAUAUCGGAAAGAGACUCUCCGCUAGGGAGAGCCAAUCAGGAACCGACGAACUUACAUGGGAAAAUAGACUAUUCCUAACCCAAGCUUUUUUAGCUAAACAAUCUGCUCGAGUAUUAAAACUUCGAGGAACAAAUCUAAUGCUAAACGACGGAAAAAAACAAACGAGUGAUCGGAAAGAGACCAUUUCUGUUGCGAAAGAUGGCCAAGCGUCUUGGUUGUCUAGGAUAGAUAUCAUGUCCGAGCAAUCUUGGUUGUAACAGACUGAAAACAUAAGAAAAAGUUUAAAUAUAUUAAACCCAAUGGACUCGAAACUUCAGCUCUCAACUUCAUCGUCUAACAGGUAGCAGGCAGUAGUAGCAUAGUGUGGUUAGUAGCAAUUUCUCAAAUUUUUCUUAUGCAACUUGACAGAAAUUUACUAUAUGUUGACUUUGGUCACUCAAUACUAGUCUUUGUUUUAGUUAUCUUUAUACUUUUUUGACCGAUGCGGUUCCCCAAGUCUUCUUCACGCGUUAAUCGUUAAUUCUUAUCUUUAGAUUUUUGAUUACUUUGGUUUGUUUUCUACUUCUUCUGUUCUUUGGUCUUUGUGAAAUGUUAUAUCAGUAAGGAGACAUUUUUUUGAGUGUGUGUGUUAAAAUGAGCUAAUAGCCUAAACAACGUCAAAGAUAGUCUGGUUUUGUAGCUAAAUUUGUGAAAGAUAAUCUAUUUUAUCGAUUUAUGUCAUUUUUUACACUGGUCCCAAUUGUUGACCGGAAUUUUUUUUUAUUUAUAAAGUUAUUAGUUUAUUGAGUAUUAAUUUAUAGAGGUUUUACUGUAUUAUUGAAUAACAUGAUUUGCUUAGUCUUGGCUCUGAAUUUGCAAAACUUUUGUAACAGACUGAAAACAUAAGAAAAAGUUGAAAUAUAUUAAGGGAGAAUAACUAGAAUGACCCUUAUAUGGGGAUUAAUAACUUUUUUUUUUUUUUUUCCGCAAACACCAUUUAUAUUAAGAUAUCGGAAAGAGACUCUCCGCUAGGGAGAGCCAAUCAGGAACCGACGAGCUUACAUGGGAAAAGAGACUGUUUCGAGAUCGAGCAUGUUUAGCUAGACAAUCUGCUCGAGUAUUAGAACUACGAGGAAGGAAUCUAAUACUAAAAGAAGGGAAAAAACAAAUGAGUGACCGGAAAGAUGCCAUUUCUGCUGCGAAGGAUGGCCAAGCGUCUUGGUUGUCAAGGAGGGAUAUCAAGUCCGAACAAUCGGAUGCGAAGGCGCAAGUAGUAAUGCCUAGCGAGAUCAGACAAUCCAUCGCCCAAAGCAGAGAAUCAAUCUCCGCAUGGAGUGGUGAGAGACUUCGUCUUGAACUCUUUAAGCCAAGUUGGAGAAUAUGGUAUUGGUCGACUAAAACCCAACCAUGUCCACUUAGGGAGUCCUCCAAAUGCCAUGAGGCAUCCGUCUGACAUUCUGAGAUCCGGGAAAGGGACGAGUGGAGUAAAACCGAACCGGCGAGAGGCUCAGGCUCUUCCGCUUCUUUCGUGUUUGCUUUCUUCCAAACAGAGGCUUCUUGUAAGGCCAGAGCCAAAGUCUCCUGAGGAGGUUCUUUAAAAUUUUCAAAGCAGAAUCUGUUACGACUUUUCCAGAUAUACCAUAAUAUCCAUGGAAAGAGUUCCAGAGUAUCCUCUUCUAUUCCGAAUUCUUUCCCACGCCAGAAAAGAAAGUCGAAAUUAUAGAAGAGGGAACUUCUGGGAAAAAGAUGCCCUGAGGUAGGAAUGGGUGAUAAGGCCCAAAUUUGCCUCGAAGGCGGACAGUCAAAGAGCAGAUGGUUUAUAGAUUCUUCAGGACCCCCACAACGAGGGCAUCCUUUCUCAUUGCCAAUAUGGCGUUAGGAUAAUCUCUGGAAUGUGGCUAGACAUCCUGAGACACAUUGCCACGCGAAAUGCAUAAGCUUUGUUGGGGUCGGUUUCCACCCUUUGGCGCCGAGCCAGGCUUAGAACACUUCGGGAGUCUUUCAGAGAUCACCUCGGGGUAUCGCGUCAUUCACUUCGGGAUAUCUGUCUAAUCGAUUUAGUAUACCCGAGCCCAUCGCCUCGGGGAUACUUAAACAAAACGACGAAGGAACCCGAGCUCAAUCGCCUCGGGGGCACCCGAGCCCAUCGCCUCGGGGAUACUUAGACAACGACGAAGGCACCCGAGCUCAAUUGCCUCGGGGGAAACCCGAGCCCAUCGCCUCGGGGAUACUUAGACAAGACGACGCAGGCACCCGAGCCCAUCGCCUCGGGGAUACUUAGACAAGACGACGCAGGCACCCGAGCCCAAUUGCCUCGGGGGUACCCGAGCCUGGCCGCCUCGGAAGUUUCUAAGCCCAUCACCUCGGGGACACCCGAAGAAGCCACCUUUGAAUACCCGAGCCAGUCCUUCGUGUGUACCCGAGCCGGUUGCACAAGAUCCCCGAGGCGAAGUCUUCAUCAUCGCCCGAAGCAAGGACUUAGUAAAUAUUCUUCUCUAAAGGUAUCAUUUCCAAGCACAUUGUCAUUUCCGAAAAAGAAGGAUCAUUUCCGAUAAACUCGGAAAUGAUAAGGAAAAAGCGCGAAGGAUCAACUCAAAUCAGGAAAUCUUCCGAAAACUCCGAAGAAUAAGGAAAUUGUCCUAAUCCGCGAUAUUCUAGCCGACUUCAAGAUAAAUGGAAAUCUUCCGAGAAUAUCGCUGGAGAGGCGGUUAAUUAUCCCUAUAUAAAGAGAGACUCAAGGCUCAAACGAGGGGCAAGCAAUAUCGCUCUAGAAAUUACUCUACGCAAAACUCUCACAGCACAAACACUUUUUUCUUUUACGAUCAAACUCUUGUACGAUCAAAGUCACCUUUUCAUUAAUAAUAUCAAGAACACCAUCUUUGGUAUCAAUCGUUUCUGUUGUUCUUUGAGAAUUCACGAUUAUCGUAUCCCUAAAAUAAAACCCUAGACAAAUCUUGAUUGUGUGAGUUUCGACUUCCACAGUUUGGCGCCGUCUGUGGGGAUACUUUAGAAUUCUCUUACCCUAAGACGCAGAACUCGAUUGCUGAAAAGCACGAUGACCGAAGACGGUCGUCAGACGCCACCAGCUGGAGGAGGAAUCCCGAACCCUCCGAACCCUCAGAACCCUCAACCCGCCGAUCCGACGAUCCUAGCGACUCUAGCCGAACUGAAAGAUCUGAUGGUUAAAUUCCAGAAGAAAACUGACGACCAAGAAAAAGCCAACCAAACCUUGGCGCAGCGAGUCGAUGAGAUCGCGACACGCGGGCAACAAAAAACCACACGUUUCCAAACUCGGCCACCACGAGCUCGGAGGGACUUGCCUGGCAUCAACCCAACGAGACUCACGUUCGCGACACCAACCGGCAACACCAGAGUCGCAACCCGAGCCGACCCUGUCAGGCGCGAGGACCAGGAUGAUCCCACCGAGCCGGACGCAGUUGACUUGACAGACGAGCCAGAUCUUCAGGAUGAGCGUACCCGAGCCGGAGCUAAUUCCGCCGAGCGAACAGACCUUACUGAUGACGAAGAAACUGAAGAAAACAUAAGGUGGGCCGAAGAAUCCGAAAGAGAAGACGAGCUAAGCAAGAUCCGAGCCUCCCUAGCCAAGGCGGAAGCUGACAUGAAGCUCGUCAAAACCCAGAUACAUAGCGUCUCAUCCUCCGCGCCGAACAUCGACCAAAUUUUGGAAGAAUCUCGGAAUACGCCUUUCACCAAAAGAAUUUCUGAGACGACGAUGUCCAACCUGGGAAAGUUCAGAAUCGACUCCUACAACGGAUCAACCGACCCAAAGUGCCACAUUAAAUCGUUCGUGAUAUCUGUGGCCCGAGCCAGGUUCAAGCCCGGAGAAAAGGACGCGGGUCUGUGCUUACUGUUCGUGGAACACCUCAAAGGACCCGCAUUAGAGUGGUUUUCAAGAUUGGAGCGAAACUCGAUUGAUAGUUUCGACGAGCUGUCGACAUUGUUCCUCAAACAAUACUCCGUGCUCAUCGACCCCGGAACUUCCGACGCGGAUCUAUGGUCCUUAUCUCAACAGCCCACCGAGCCAUUAAGGGAUUUCCUCAAGACCUUCAAAUCGACGCUAGCCAAGGUUGAAGGAAUUACAGAUGUAGCAGCUCUCUCGGCUUUGAAAAAAGCUCUCUGGUACAAGUCAGAAUUCAGGAAAGAGUUGAACCUGUCUAAACCAACAACAAUUCGUGACGCGCUGCAUCGAGCCUCGGAUUUCGUCGCCCACGAAGAAGAAAUGGCGUUACUAGCAAAGAGGCACGAGCCGACGAAACAGGCGUCCCGAGCCGAGAAAACCGAGAAAACUGAGAAAGCCCAAGCGGCACCGCCAAUCCAGAAGAAGACGCGUGAAGGCAGCACAUAUACGCAUCACGGAGGGCGCAAUUUCUCAGGAUACCAUAGCUACCAAAUCGACACACCCCGAGGCCGUGGCCGCGGCAGAGGCCGAGGCCGUGGGCGGGGAAGAGAGUCCUUCACCUGGACAAGGGAUCAGCCACCAAACAAUGAUCAAGAAUAUUGCGAACACCACAAAAUUUUCGGCCAUCAUACCUCGAGAUGCCGAAGCCUCGGAGCCAAGUUAGCAACCAAAUUCCUAGCUGGAGAGCUCGGGACAAACGUUACUCUUAAGGACCUCGAGCCGGAACCGGAGGCCGAGCAGACCAACCCAGGAAGAGACCCCGAACCGAGGAACCAGGAGUCUCAGAAAAGAACCCGGGGAUCGGAAGACGAAGACCGAGAUGGUACGCGGCAGAAGGUUUUUACCAUAAUGGGUGGAUCGCCAUACUGUCCUGACACUGUAGCGGCAAUCAAAGCUUAUCAACGCCGAGCCGAGACACCUAGCAACUGGACAAGACCCUUCGAUCGACCUAACGACGUGAUCACAUUCGAAGAGAGCGAGACAAACGGGCUCGACAUGCCUCAUAACGACCCAAUCGUCGUCACAUUAGCGAUAGGAGACCACGAUAUUUACCGGGUGUUAAUUGACACCGGCAGCACCAUUGACGUGAUCUUUCGUGAAACGCUCCAACGAAUGAACAUCGAUAUGUCACAGGUGAUUCCGACCCCGAGGCCUGUCCUCGGGUUUUCAGGAGAAACCUUGAUGACGCUUGGGACCAUCCAACUACCAGUCCGAGCCGGCGGGGUGACAAAGAUAGUCAACUUCUCGGUCACCGAUCGACCUACCAUCUACAACGUCAUAAUGGGAACCCCGUGGUUAAAUCUAAUGCGAGCUGUCGCAUCAACAUAUCAUUUGUGUGUCAAGUUCCCGACCCCUAAUGGCGUGAAAACAAUUUGGGGCAGUCAGAAAAAUUCUCGGAUAUGUUUCAUGGCAGCACACAAACUCCGAAACCCUGUCACUGAAGUAAAGGCUGAAACGGAUCACAAGAAAUCGAAACUUGGCCGGAGUGAAGAGAAGGCUAUAUCUAAACAGUUAUAGCAAUUACAGAUCGAGGAGGCGCGCGAGGAGAAGAAGCCUACCUCGGAUCCUGUAAUCUCCAUUAGCCUCGAUGACGAACGGCCCGAACGAUGUGUGGAAAUUGGCAGCGACUUAACCGAGGAGCUCAAGACCGAGCUCAUCUCAUUCCUCAAGGAGAACAUCGACACCUUCGCCUGGUCGGCUGAAGAUCUACCUGGGGUAAGCAUCGACGUAAUCUGCCACGAGCUGAAUGUUGACCCAUCUUUCAAGCCCAUCAAGCAGAAGCGAAGAAAAUUGGGUCGGGAUCGCGCAGAUGCAGUGAACGCCGAAGUUGAAAAACUCCUGAAGAUCGGCUCGAUCUCUGAAGCAAGGUAUCCGGACUGGUUAGCAAAUCCUGUCGUGGUUAAAAAGAAAAACGGCAAGUGGAGAGUUUGCGUCGAUUUCACCGACCUGAACAAAGCUUGCCCUAAAGACAGGUUUCCGCUCCCACAUAUCGAUCGUUUAGUGGAAGCAACCGCGGGAAAUAAGUUGCUAUCAUUCAUGGACGCUUUCGCAGGAUACAAUCAAAUUCUCAUGCACCCCGACGAUCGCGAGAAGACAGCAUUCAUCACAGACCGAGGUAUCUACUGUUACAAAGUCAUGCCCUUCGGACUCAAGAACGCCGGCGCGACGUAUCAGCGACUCGUCAACAGAAUGUUCUCCGAACAGCUCGGGAAGACGAUGGAAGUUUAUAUCGACGACAUGUUAGUCAAAUCUCUUGAAGAAAGCGACCACAUAGCCCAUCUACGCGACUGUUUCCGUCAGCUCAACAAGCACAACAUGAAGCUUAACCCGGCAAAAUGUCGUUUCGCGGUAAAGUCUGGAGAAUUCUUGGGAUAUCUCGUAACACACCGAGGCAUCGAGGCGAACCCGAAACAGAUCGAUGCUCUACUAAACAUGCCCUCACCGCAGAACAAGCGCGAAGUCCAACGUCUCACCGGGAGAGUCGCAGCCUUGAACCGAUUCAUCUCGCGAUCCACUGACAAAUGCCUGGCUUUCUACGAUACUCUGCGCGGGAACAAGAAAUUCGAAUGGACCGAUCGCUGCGAAGAAGCUUUCCAGGAACUGAAGAAGUAUUUGGCUAAUCCACCGGUGUUAGCGAAACCAAUCCCGGGCGAGCCGUUAUUCCUGUACAUCGCAGUCUCCGACACGGCUAUAAGCGGAGUCAUAGUCAGGGAAGACAGAGGGGAGCAGAAGCCGAUUUUUUACGUCUCGCAAACUUUCACCGACGCGGAAACACGCUACCCGCAAACUGAAAAGCUCGCCCUCGCCGUAGUAAUGUCAGCUCGGAAGCUACGGCCAUAUUUCCAGUCUCACUCGAUUGUCGUCAUGGCGCCCGUAUCGCUCCGAACCAUCUUGCACAGUCCAAGCCAAUCGGGACGCUUAGCCAAGUGGGCAGUAGAACUCAGCGAAUAUGACAUCGAAUACAGAAACAAAACAUGCGCGAAAUCUCAAGUCCUGGCCGAUUUCAUCAUCGAGCUGCCAACAGAGAACGUCCGAGAAGAGUCACCCAACGCUGUUUGGAUCCUCCACGUCGACGGCUCAUCCUCAAAACAAGGUUCUGGCGUCGGAAUCCGCCUCGCAUCACCAGAGGGUGAAAUCCUUGAACAAUCCUUUCGGCUAAAUUUCGACGCGACCAACAACGUGGCUGAGUACGAAGCGCUGAUAGCAGGACUUAAGCUGGCUCGGGGACUUAAGAUCAACAAGCUGCGAGCCUUUUGCGACUCUCAGCUCGUGGCUAAUCAAUUCAAUGGAGAAUACGCGGCUCGCGACGAACGAAUGGAAGCGUAUCUUGCUCUCACGCAAGAUUUGGCGAAACAGUUCGGAGAGUUUGAGUUGAAUAGAAUCCCACGAGGUGAGAACACAUCGGCCGAUGCCUUAGCGGCUCUAGCUUCAACCUCCGACCCAAAUCAGAAGAGGAUCAUACCGGUUGAGUUCAUCGAAAAGCCGAGCAUUGAAGAUAAUAGCAAAGAUCAAGUUCUAACAGCUCGGGAAACGGAAGAACCGGAAGAAAUGGACAUCGAACAGCUGGACCAGCAAACCACGGACGCAACCGAGCCUGAAUACGGAAGCGACGCCAAAUGGAUCGGAGCCAUCCGAGGCUACAUCGCCGACGGAGAAGUUCCUACUGAAAAAUGGGCAGCUCGGAAGCUUAAGGCCAAAGCGGCUCGGUAUACUCUGAUCGACGGAGAACUCUUUAAAUGGCGAUUUUCUGGUCCUCUCCUUGUCUGUGUCGAAGGAAACGAAGCUCGGAGAGUCAUGGAAGAAGUACACGGCGGAUCUUGUGGAAACCAUUCUGGCGGAAGAGCCCUAGCCAUAAAGAUCAAACGCCACGGAUAUUUUUGGCCGACGAUGGUCAAAGACUGCGAGAAAUUCUCUCAACGGUGUGAUAAAUGCCAGAGGCACGCACCAACCAUUCAUCAACCCGCCGAGCUCCUCUCUUCCAUCACUUCGCCUUAUCCGUUCAUGCGAUGGUCCAUGGACAUCAUCGGACCUCUACACAACUCCAAACAGAAGAAACUCGUCCUCGUACUAACAGACUACUUCUCCAAAUGGAUCGAGGCAGACUCCUACGCCAGCAUCAAAGACGCGCAGGUCGAAAACUUCGUCUGGAAGAACAUCAUAUGCCGCCACGGGAUACCUUACGAAAUCGUUACAGAUAACGGAUCGCAGUUUAUUUCGGCUCGGUUCGAAGGAUUCUGCGAGAAAUGGGGAAUUCGCCUCAGCAAGUCUACGCCUCGGUAUCCUCAGGGGAACGGACAGGCCGAAGCGGCAAACAAGACGAUUCUCGACGGAAUAAAAAAGCGCCUCGACGCAAAGAAAGGCCGCUGGGCCGACGAAUUAGAAGGGGUACUCUGGUCACACAGAACCACGCCACGGCGAGCCACGGGAGAAACACCUUUCGCCCUUGUCUACGGCACGGAGUGUGUGAUUCCCACCGAAGCCGAGAUCCCGGGACUAAGGAGACGUUUUCUCCCCGAGCAGGAAAAUUCCAACACACAGAUGAUGCUGGACGAGCUGGACUUAGUUGACGAAAGAAGAGAUUCGGCCUUGGUUCGAAUGCAGAACUAUCAGAACGCAACGGCUCGGUACUACAACUCUCACGUUAAACAUCGCCGUUUCCACGAAGGAGAUCUCGUACUGCGCAAAGUUUUCCAGAAUACCGCCGAGCAGAACGCAGGCAAACUCGGCGCGAAUUGGGAGGGACCUUACACGAUCGCAAAGGUAAUCCGUCCCGGCAUCUACGAACUCAUCAACAUGAACGGCAAAGCGGUACCUAGAUCCUGGAACGCAACGCAUCUAAGGAAAUACUACCGCUAAAAACCUAAGGUACGCAUGUACUCGAACUACGGGGUGGCUUGAUCCCUGAAAAGGGUACGUAGGCAGCUCGUCCUCGGACGAGUUCAGCUACCCCCCCUAAUUAAAAAAGGGGGGGAGUGGGUCCGUAUAUCCAUACUCCCGCUCAAACUUUGUCAAUUAUACGUUUCAUAUACUCCGUCUCAAAUUUUAUCGAACUAUAUUUCUAAGUAUACACCUCGGGUUUUUAUCCGAUCAAAUCCACCUCGCUCUUUACCCCGAAACUCGCCUCGGGAAAUCAACACGGUCUAAACUCCGUUCGGUUCGUUUGGGCGAUGGCCACGCCCGCGAACCAAAUUCAUCUACACCUCUACGGUAACAGCGCGCUAUAUAAGCAUCCAAGACACUUCGGAAGGAGAUAUCCUGCCAUAAAGAAGUUGUCUUCAGAAAACCCAGUUCACUUCUACACUGGUACCCCAGUUCGCUUCUAAGCACUGGCAUCGACUAUAUCAGCUCGGGUCGCAACCGAUAAAGAUUAGUCCUACUUAAUCGAAACCCAGUUAUCCUAACGCUGGUACACGAUUCAUUUCAUUUUCGGCUCGGAAGUUAAGACGUUUGGAUAUAACUUCUCAACGAGCAAUUCUUAAACCCGGUUAACUUAACACCGGUGCAUGAUUCUUUUUUGCUCUCGGCUCGAAGGAUAAAACCAAAUACUUGACAUUAGUUUUGAAUUCAGUUCGGGAAAAAUGUUUAAGAAAAAAUACUUCCGACAUAAUAUUCAAGGGAUAAAGCCAUCUAGGCAUGUCUUACAAAGAAAAAAGAAAACAAAAAGACAUCUCGGGAUCAGAUCGAAUCUUGGUUAACCGGCGAAACUUGAGCUACCUCGGUACCUCGGUUCGAACCGGACUGGUCGGCAACACCUAGCGCCACCGCGGCACCUUCGAUCGAACGGUUUCCGAAGCUGUCAUCAACAGAAUCCGGGGAAACCGGAGGGAGCUUCAAGUCCUCUCGCAGCUCGGUCCCAAGACGGACGUACUCGUCCUCGGCGCCCCCAUAUUCAGCAGUCCACUGAAGGACCUCGGCCUUCUCGUCUUCAACCCUCUUUCCUUCCUCCAGCUCGGCUAUCAGCUCGGCAUUGGCCCGCGCUUGCACCAAGUACAUAUAGCGCGUGGAUGCCUCCCCGAACUGGUCCAUCUUCGCCUCGAUAGCCCUGACCUUCUCGGCGAACUCCCUUUUGGCUGCCCUCCUUUCUCUGACAACCUCCUUCUCCCGGAGAGCCUUCUCCUCGUUGAAUAACCGAUGGAGUCGUUCGACCUCGGCCUCAAGCUCCCUCUGAGUCCGCAAGCUAUCCUCAGAAGCUUUCAAUCGCUCCACCUUCUCGGCUUUGGCCAACGCCUCAGCCUCCUGUUUAGCCGCGAUCGCCUCGGACAAUUUAGCUUCGAUCUUAGCUCGGGACGUCUCCGAUCUCUCACGGGCCAGCUCGGACUUCCGAGCUCCAGAGUCAUAGGCCCGAACCAUGGAGUUCAUCGAAUGGAAGGCCUGAAAUAGAACAAGAAUUAUUAGCAAGUAUACAUGGAAACGAUAGUAAAACAGGUCAAGAACGGAUCGGUAAUACCUUCAAGAAUCCGGCAGCGGUUUCACGGUAGUUUUGAGCCUCCAACAAGGCAUCGGGAGCAGACAGUGGCGGCCCCGAGCAGGAAGCGACAAAGUUCGCCGAAGCGACCUUGUCCUUGUACACUGGAGUUUCGCUACGACUCCUUUUCUCCUUCCUAGAAACUCCCGAGCCAUCACCUCGGGGUCUUUUUCCCCUAGUUUUGGAUUUCGUCUCGGCGACCGGAGCAGCAACGACCAGAGUCCCUACCGCCUCGGGGACGUCGGUCGCAGGGGAGAUGUGUCCGACCACCUCAGGAACGAUCGGAACCGUGUCCCGAGGUACAUCAGUUGCCUCGGCACCCAUAACAACCUCAGGGUUGGCCUCGGGAGGAGUAGGAGGUCUGAAGUUCGCCUCCAAAACGGCUUUUUCCUUAGCCGCUUUCUUUUCAGCAGCCUUCCUGGCUCUCAAAGAUUGCGCGGCUCCUUGCAUUUCGAUGAGGUGAUCUAAACGAUGGUCGGAUGAUUCUGAAGAAGACUGGCAGGGAGCUCCGUGCAACAAACGCAAGGCUCUCUCAAUCCUUUCCUGGGAAAAGUGCUUCGUCCAAUCACACUUCCGAGCUAUUAGUUCGUCGUGGAGUUCUAGAAAACCUUCGGGAAUGUCUUCGAGAAACGACGGGUUCCGAUCUGCAUGAACAAGAGAAACGGUUAGUAAAAAAAAUAUAUAAAGAAGAACAAGACAGCAAAUACAGCUUCGGGCGUAGUACCGAUUUGUCUCCACUUUCCAACAAUUUUUCCUAAGUAGUCCUCGUGGACACUAUACUCAUUCAAGGCUACAAAGAAGAAAUGGUCGGUAUAUUUUUCAUCCUUGCUCGGGAAACCGCCGAUAACCCUCCUAUUUGGCUUCGGAGAUAUGUAAAACCUCUCAACAGGGCCCGGUAUUCGCCGGAUCUCUAGGAGAUUCCUUAAGUGGCUUAGGUCAACUAGAUUGACCGUCUCAAUACUUCGGACUAAAAUCCCCACUAGAUGCCGCAAGCCUCGGGUCGUUAUCUGGGAUAGAGCAAUCUUGUACGACCACAGAAACGCCAAAAUCGGCCUCGGGACUGGAAGCCAGAGGAAGCAAUGAUAAAAGAAUCCCUCGUAGAGGGUUAAAAACCUCUCGGGUGGAUCAUCGGCUCGCUCAUUUGGAGUUGGAAGUCUCAGUUCAACCCCCUCACUGAAACCAAAUCGAGCCUUGAGAUCCCGAAGGGAAUCCUCCGUGCAUAAAGUAGAACCCGGGGGAUCAGGUUUCCUAGCCUUCUUGGCUCGUUUUCUCUUCUGCUGACCCUUGGCUGCUCGGACUUUAGCUUGAAGCAACCUAGCCGCCUCGUCAGAAUCGUAGUGGACUUCCUCGGCCUUAAUAGGAAGUAGAGGCGCCUCGGGGGCGUUUCGCCAGCACGAUACUCCAGCUUCACCAACUGCCGGUGGAUGGGCCCUCCUUCUACUCAAAAUCGCCUCGGGAUCAUCAGGCAAAUCCUGAUCCCGAGCCACAUUUGCAAUCGCAUCUUCCCGAGCAACGAAAUGGCUCGGGUUUCCUUCCCGUGAAGCCGACUCUGCGUCACUCCCCCGGUAUAACACGAUCUGAUGGUCCGCCUCGGGGUCGCUCGAGGAACUCCAGACCUUUUUUCUCUUGUAGACGGGAAGAAGAGUGUCGCCUCGGGGCGAAUCGCUGGAAUCAGAUAGAGACAUUAUCUGGCUCGGGAGAUUAAAGAAGCUGAUCGGAGGAACAAAAAUUUGACAGAUCGGGGAAAUCAACCUAGAUCUAAUGACGGUGGCGCUACGACGGAAAUAUUAACGGAAAAAGUAGAAAAUUCAAGAACUCAAGAUCAGAGAGAAGAAAACGAACCUUAAAAAUUUUUCCGUUGCGAAUGCGAAAUGAAGAAAUGAAUCGGAGGCUUAACAUUUAUAGAGAUUUGGGGCGCGUCGGGUACGAACGAGCCAAAUAAAACGCAUCGAAUCCGCGUCUGAGGCGCGUCGGGCACAAACGAAGCAAGUAAGAUACUUCGCAUCUGCACGAGUCUCGGGAAUCAGCGAAAGGACCUUUCCACUUCUCGAGAAGGAAUCCCAACCGUCACACGCCAAGAGAAGAUGAAACGAUAGAGGAAUCCGAAUCGCCAAAAACUUUAAAAGGACCGAACUAUUCAAAGUAAACGGCUCGGCCUAAAUGUCAUAAAGCUCAUCACGCUUGGUUCUCCAAUCUAACGAGCUGGGGGGCUAACUGUUGGGGUCGGUUUCCACCCUUUGGCGCCGAGCCAGGCUUAGAACACUUCGGGAGUCUUUCAGAGAUCACCUCGGGGUAUCGCGUCAUUCACUUCGGGAUAUCUGUCUAAUCGAUUUAGUAUACCCGAGCCCAUCGCCUCGGGGAUACUUAAACAAAACGACGAAGGAACCCGAGCUCAAUCGCCUCGGGGGCACCCGAGCCCAUCGCCUCGGGGAUACUUAGACAACGACGAAGGCACCCGAGCUCAAUUGCCUCGGGGGAAACCCGAGCCCAUCGCCUCGGGGAUACUUAGACAAGACGACGCAGGCACCCGAGCCCAUCGCCUCGGGGAUACUUAGACAAGACGACGCAGGCACCCGAGCCCAAUUGCCUCGGGGGUACCCGAGCCUGGCCGCCUCGGAAGUUUCUAAGCCCAUCACCUCGGGGACACCCGAAGAAGCCACCUUUGAAUACCCGAGCCAGUCCUUUGUGUGUACCCGAGCCGGUUGCACAAGAUCCCCGAGGCGAAGUCUUCAUCAUCGCCCGAAGCAAGGACUUAGUAAAUAUUCUUCUCUAAAGGUAUCAUUUCCAAGCACAUUGUCAUUUCCGAAAAAGAAGGAUCAUUUCCGAUAAACUCGGAAAUGAUAAGGAAAAAGCGCGAAGGAUCAACUCAAAUCAGGAAAUCUUCCGAAAACUCCGAAGAAUAAGGAAAUUGUCCUAAUCCGCGAUAUUCUAGCCGACUUCAAGAUAAAUGGAAAUCUUCCGAGAAUAUCGCUGGAGAGGCGGUUAAUUAUCCCUAUAUAAAGAGAGACUCAAGGCUCAAACGAGGGGCAAGCAAUAUCGCUCUAGAAAUUACUCUACGCAAAACUCUCACAGCACAAACACUUUUUUCUUUUACGAUCAAACUCUUGUACGAUCAAAGUCACCUUUUCAUUAAUAAUAUCAAGAACACCAUCUUUGGUAUCAAUCGUUUCUGUUGUUCUUUGAGAAUUCACGAUUAUCGUAUCCCUAAAAUAAAACCCUAGACAAAUCUUGAUUGUGUGAGUUUCGACUUCCACAAGCUUUCGCGUAGUUUUUAACUUCCACACCUGUGCCUGAAGUGCCGUAACACCAGGUCCCUGAAAAGGGGGGUCACAGGUAGGACGAGAUAACUCUCGCGCGGCCCAGUAUCCUGAUUUAACAGAAUAGUUUCCGGAUUUGGUAUAGGACCAGCUAAAGCCAUCACUCAAGUAGGUGCGACUUGGCCGAAUCCCGAGAAUCAGUGGAAUAUCAGCGGGAUCAAUCAACGCAUGAAGGCGAUCCAGCUUCCAAAGCUUUGUUGAUUGAUCAAUCAAGUCAUUGACAUAGAUAAGAGGGUCUCUAGUGGCAAGAAGACUCUUGGCAGCUCUCGCAGGAAUAGUGGGAAUCCAUGGGUCCUCCUAGACUUUGGUUAGCAUUCCGGAUCCGAUGGUUCUCCGAAGACCCGAGACAAGAAGAGGUUUGGCAGCCAUUAUGCUUCUCCAACCAUAUGAGGGCCGAUUCGAGCUUCCUAUGUGUAAAGGGUCGCUAAAGCGAAAAUAACGUCCCCUUAAGACCCUACUUAAAAGAGAGUUAGGAAAUCUGAUAAGGCGCCAUAAUUGCUUAGCCAAUAAGGCUAGAUUAAAUUCCUCUAGCGUUCUAAAUCCAAGACCACCUUCAGCAUAAGGUGUACAGAGUUUAUCCCAUGCUAUCCAGUGAAUGUCAUUGCUAUUUUCGUUGGUUUUCCACCAAAAGUUUGCAAUGGCACUACUUAAUUUUGAACGGAUUGCUUUGGGGAGUAAGAAGCACGACAUAACGUAUGUCGGAAGAGCCUGCGCAACAAACUUAAUGAGAACUUCUUUGCCACCUUUGGACAAGAACUUUGCGGACCAGGUAUUAAGCCUUUUUUGAAGCCGGUCUCUGACAAAUGAGAAAACUUGAACUUUGGAGCCAUGAAUCUGUUCAGGAAGGCCCAGGUACGAUCCCAUACCCCCAUCUCGAUGAAUUCCAAUUGUCGCUUUAAUGAUAUUCCGGGUUAAGUUAUCCACGUCAUGACCAAACAUUACUUAAGAUUUAGCAGUGUUUAGUUGUUGUCCUGAAGCCUGGCCAUAUGUACGGAGUAUAUUAAUUAUUUCUCGACCUUGCGUCGGAUCUGCUUUACAGAAAAAUAAGCUAUCAUCGGCAAACAGAAGAUGUGAGGUGGAAGGACUUGCACGGGAAAUUUGAAGGCCUUGAAUACGACCAUUCCAUUCAGCAUCUUUUAGCUUUGCCACUAAUGCCUCUGUACAUAAAAUGAACAGGAAAGGGGAGAUAGGAUCACCUUGGCGAAGACCCCUAGAAGGACGGAUGAUGCCUCUCGGAGACCCAUUUAUAAGAACUUUAUAAGAUACCGAAGAGAUACAGCAGAUGAUCCAAUCUACCCAAUGUUGAGAAAAACCCAUUUUCAACAUUAGGGCCUUAAGAAAAGACCAUUCCACCCGAUCGUAAGCUUUACUCAUAUCUGUUUUUAUAGCCAUGAAUUUUUUCUUACAAGCCGGAUUUGUUCGGAGUGCAUGAAAAUUUUCCUGGGCUAUAAGAAUGUUAUCUGUGAUAAUUCUGCCAGCCACAAAGGCGGAUUGAGUCUCGGAUAUAAGAUCCGGAAGAAGCUUCUUGAGCCGGAGACUCAAUAUCUUCGAGAUAACUUUGUACCCAACGUUACACAAACUGAUUGGUCGGAAUUCCGUCAUCUUUCUUGGUCUAUCCGUCUUUGGAAUCAGACAAAUAUUUGUUUCAUUAAGGCGGUCAUCAAAAGAUCCAGAAGAGUGGAAAUCUUGGACUAAUUUAACCAGGUCUGAUCCAGUCAAGUCCCAGAACUUCUGGUAGAAGAGGGCCGUCAUCCCAUCUGGACCCGGAGCUUUAUCUGGGUGGAGAGAGAAGAGGGCUUUUUUAACUUCCUCCGGGGAUAUCUCUCGAAUGAGCUUUUGGUUCAUAUCCUCCGAGAUCAUAGCUGGCACAUCCUGAAGAACAGAAUGGAAUUCUUGUGGGUCAGAAGUGGUAAAAAGGUCCUUGAAGUAGUCUACCGCUAGGCGCUCGAUACCCAUCUCCUUGUCCACCCACAUGCCAUCCUUAUUCAAGAGACCCAAAAUCUUAUUUCGGGCUCGACGCUGUUUAGUAAUAGCAUGGAAAAAUUUAGUAUUCUUGUCCCCUUCUUUGUACCAAGUCUCUCUGCUCUUCAUUUUCCAAAAGAUCUCUUCUUCUCUAUAAGCGUCACAGAGUCUCCAUUUUAGGGCAAGAAGCUGUUCAGCAGAAAUGGAAUCAUCUUCUUGAGCGCUAUCAAUUUUAUCUUGUAAUUCCUUAAUCAGUUUCUCCGAAUUCGUAGAAUUCGAUUUUUUCCACUUAGAAAUGGAUCGUCUGCAAUUCUUUACUCUCUGUGUAAAGAUACCUCCUUCAAGCGAAGGGAAAUUCCAGCCUUCAUAGACCGACUCCUUAAACCCCGGUUUACCUAACCACCGUUUAUCAAAAAAGAAUUGCUUAAGAGCUCGGGGAGGACUGUUUUGAAUUGAAGCUAGAAGGGGUCUAUGGUCGGAACCCCAUAAUUUUAGAUACUCCACAUUCGUGUGGGAAAAAAUGGAAUGCCAUUCUUCAUUUGCCAACGCUCUAUCAAGCCGGGCUUUGAUAAGUUGGCGCACUCGACGGCCUGAGGGCCCACAACUUCUGCGGCCCACCCAGGAGAAAAGGUUUCCUAAGGAAGGAACCUCGAUCAUCCCGCAAUUUUCAAUCAUACAUCGAAAAGGGAGAAAAGAAGGUUCCGAACGACAUUUACCACCUUUCUUCUCAUGGUUUCCGGUAAUCUCAUUAAAGUCACCAAUCAUAAACCAUGGAUCAGAGCGUGAAAUGCCAAUACGAGAUAACCGCUCCCAAACUAAUUCUCGGUAUUGAACUACCGGAUCACCAUAAACAAAAGUAAUAAAAACUCGGUUUCCAUCAAUAAUAGUAGAAAUAUCAAUAAGCCGAUCGCUCACAAAAACAAACUCAACCGGAUAAUCAUUCGAAUACAAAAGAGCGAGCCCGCCACUGUUACCAAUCGGUUCAACAGUCUUAAGGCAAUCAAAACCUAACGAAACUUGCAUAUUCUGAAGAUGUACAAGAUCGUUCUUAGUUUCCGAUAAAAAAAGAAAACCUGGAGAGUACAUCCGACACAUCUCUUCCAGUCGGCGGGUGGUAAGCUGAGCACCCGCCCCUUGACAAUUCCAAGCUAGAAGUCUCAUGGGUUGGUUGCGGGGGGAAUCGGGGAUCCCACCGAAACACCGGGCGCACUUGAAGUCUUGGUCUUUGAAGACGGGAGAACUCUGCCCCUUGGAACCGAGGCUGCACGACGAGAAGAACCCGGUUUAGACGAACCGGCUUUGUUGGCCAGCCUCUUACUCGGGGAUCUACCUUUGAGAUUCUGGAUUUUUCUUGAGGCCAUAUUGACCAGCAUGCCUGAAUUGGCUUGAGCUCUCCGUUGACGGGCCUCAGACUUUCUCUUAGUGGGCUCCUUUUUACCCAAAGGCCCAGCAAUAGGUGGAUCCUCGGAAACAGACUCCAUCUUCGAUCCAGUCGCCUGAGUCUUCAACGCAGCCGCCGGCGGAGCUGAUGUCAUUGCCGGAACCGUCGUCUGCCCGCUAGCUUCUUGAGUCGUCGAAACCGGACAGACCUGGAGGCUCUCUUCUAUCUCAUCGCGUAGCAGGUCAUCAUCGUCAAAGUAAGCCGCUGCAUCCUCUGCCGUCCAUUCAAGAUUUAAAGCCUCCGAGAGUGGGUCAACGUGGGGAUUGAACUCAGAUCGAGCUAGUUGAGUACCAACUGGACUGGAAAAGGAGACAGCCUGAGAAAACUUCGCAGCCAAAAUCGUAUCAGGACCGGCGGCAAGAAGCCUAGCUUCCUCCUCUUCCUCCUCCACCGUAAUAUCAUACCAGCUUUUGCGUUUUUCCGUCUAGGAUCCAUCAACAGGGGCGCACAGUGGAUUGGAGACAAAGGGAUCUGAGAGGAGGGAGUCGGAUGAUCAAAAUUAAGCGACUUCUUCGCUGAGCUCCCCAUCUCCGAGGAGACUGCUGGGAUGGGAAGAGAUUGCUCACCGACCUUGCCUUUCCCUUUCUCCAAAGCAGAGCUUCUUCUAGAGAGAUGAAGUUUAAAUGGUCGUUCCCUGUUAAACUCCGGGGAAGAAUUUCCUUGCUUUGCUCUUGAAGGAGCAACAAGAGCGUCUGAUACGGUGAGUUGAGAGUCUGAGAUUUGAGAUGGCGAUGGCUCAACUCCUUGUGAAGGUUUGUGACUAGGAAGUUGCGAAGGAGGAAUGAGAGAGGGACCCUUACGACCCUUACUGGCUGGUUCCAUGUUCUUCUCCUGAGAGAAAGAGUCAUCAAAGCGCCGUUUUCGACCAUCCUCACCUCCGCUGCCCCUAGAGACUUCUGAGGAGGGAGGGCGCCUUCGAGACGUAUGAUUCACCAGGUUAGAAGACACUGGGACACGGAGAGAAGUCUUAAGGGACUGAUGUUGUUGCUGACGAUAGCUCCCAAUUCUAGCAGCGUGAAUUGAGGAUGAAAGCAGUUUCUCAGAGGAAUGGCCUGUAGCUAGAGGAAGAUUCCUCCUUCCAUGACCAACACGAUGCGAGACCGAGGGGUCAAGAGAAGGGAGAGGGGGAAUUUUUGAGCUCUCCCCUCUACUGGAGAACCGAGGGUUCCUCUGUUCCUCCUCAGCAAUCAGAGCGCGUCGUUGAGAAGAAUCAAGAAGAGGGCACGAGUCAAGCUCAUGACAGAUACGGCGACAAUAGGUGCACCAUCGAAAGAGCUUCUCAUAGAACAAUUUAACUUUCACCAUCUCGCCUGUGGGAAGCUGAGCGUUCUUAUUAAAGCGGAAAGGAGCAUCUGCUUUAACAGAGAUUUGGAACCUACCAUUGGUAGAGUCCACUCUAUGGACCACCCCAAGAGUGCUGGCAAAGUUCCUUAAGGCUACCUCCUUCCAAAACUCAGCUGGAAGACCUUCAGAUCUGACCCAAAAGGUCAUGUUUUCGGGGAAGGAAGUUCCAGAGUUUGGUACCCAACGUUCAAGAGCAAAUGACCACUUGUUAAAGUGACAAGGGCGUUUGUUCAAGAUCUUCAAGAGGUCUGCUUCGGAUUCAAAGAAGAACUGAAACCGAGACUCACCGAGAGAAACACCUCUAACACGUCCUUCAACGUCCCAGAUGUGUUCUUUAGGGAGAAGGGAAACAAGAGCGUCGAUGCUCCGACCACCUUGGUGAAACAUCCGUCCCACCAAACUCAAGUUAAGGCGAGCUAGAAUAGCAGUGUUAUCAACCGGAGGGAGAAAAAAGACAUCCUCUUCAUCCUCAGGUUCAAAAGCAAAGGGAGCUUGUUUUGGAGGAGAAUCCCUAUACCAGCUUGGUCUCUCUCUCUUAGACAUGGUUAGAGAGUAAAAGCACAGAAAAAGAAGACAGAAUCUUAGCUUUACGCUAGAAAUAGUGAGUGGCGCUGCUAUUGCAGGAGAUCUUCAAAACGGAGUACAAAUCUUGACUCUCACAGACUAGAUUGGGAAAAGCAGAGGAAAGAAGAAAAACAGAGAUCAAAGGGAAAAGAGGCGGUGAAGGGAGAGGAGAGGACACAAUGGACGCAGCGAUCUAGAAGAGAGUCCAUUGGAAAACCUAUGGGGAUUAAUAACUAGAAUGACUCAUAUCUUUUAAUAAUAAUUAGAGUGUUUUCGUUUUUUUUAAUCCCCAAAAUACCCAUAUAAAGCUUUGUACAGAAAAUCAUAAUAACAAAAAUGCCAUUAAAAAAAAAUGCCAGCUAGGCAAAAGUUACCGUUAUUUACAGAAAAACCUAUCAUUAUUUACAGUUUUGCCACUGAUGUUUGCGAACUCAAAUAAAUCUGUAGGAAAAAUCUGCCACCGAUUAUAGAAAUCUGCCACAGAUUUUAUAAAUCUGCCACCGAUUUAUAAAUCUGCCACACAUUUAAUUGUAUCGUUAUCGCUGACUUCUUUUCUUGCCGAUUUGUUUUUGAACCACAGAUUUGUUCUACAGAUUUAUUUCUACCACAUAUUUAGUAUACAGAUUUUUUCAUAGGUUGCUACCGAUUUAUAGGCUAUUACAGAUUUUUUGUCUACCACAGACUUGUCUUACAGAUUUUCUUUGAAGACAUCGCAGAUUUUAUAGGUUUCGCAGAUUUAUUUCUACAGAUUUGUUUUUCCUACAGACUUAUUGUCAAUCACGUUUCUGCAGACUUAUUAAUAGUACCUACCGACUUAUAUUAAGUCUGUACGUUGUUGCAGAUUUGUUACUGCAAAAGAUAAUAACUAGACUGACUCUUAGUGAUCACAGAGUUUUACCUCUUGACGGUAGAUAUAUUAUGAAUCACAGAUUUAUUUCCCAUCAUCACAGAUAUAUGUGUCGUAGUUGUCGCAGACUUAACUACCUUUUUAGUUGUCACAGACUUAUAUUCUACAGACUUAUAUUCUACAGACUUGUUGUUACACUUUGACCGCAGAUAUAGUUUUACAGACUUAUUUGAAGACACCACAGAUUUGUUUUCUAGAAUCUAAGAUAGAGAAAUCUGGAUCGUCCGAUUUAGGGUUUGACCAAUCCUUAGCUUAUCUUAGAUUUAUUUGGUCUAGAUUUAAGUUAUCGCAGAUUUAUUUUGUCCUUCCAUUUAAAUUAGGGAAAAAACUAGUUUGACCCAAAAAUAAGGUUUAAUUACUAAAAUAACUCAUAAAAUGUAUGGGUUAAUCUAGUUAUUUUCCUGACCAAAAUACCCUUUGUCUCUUUGUUAGGAAAAAAAAUAAAGUCAAUAAUACCCUCUGAUUUUUCUUGAAACGUGGGUGAAAUUUUUUCGAAAAACCAAAUCUGCCGUUAAAAGUCUGUGGGCGUCGUUGUGACAGAUUUAUUUUCUCUGACAGACUUAAUAGUCUACGACAGAUUUUCUACAGCAGUUUUUUUCCUCCCACAAACUUAUUUGAAUAUGGUUACGACAGAUAUUUAAUUUGUAGCAGAUUUUUUUCCUUUGCCAGACUUAUUUUAUGAUGACGUCUCAGACUUUCGUAAUUUUGACAGUUUUAUUAUAAUAUGUAGCAGAUUUUUGUUUCUAGUGGCGUCAGAUUUAUAUUUUUUGGAAAAAAACUGUCAUAAUACAGCAGAUUUGUUAAUAAAAAAUAAUUACUAGUUUGACUUUUUAGUGCUCACAGAUUUGUUUUACGUUAUGACAGAUUUUUUAAUGUUAACAAAAAAUCUGGAAUGUUAUAGCAGAUUUGUUUUAAAAAAAUUAAAAUUGCUAGAAUGACAUAUAGUCGCAACCGAUAUGUUUAACGUUAUGACAGAUUUUUUUUAUGUUAUGCCAGAUUUAUGUUUAAUUCACAAAAAUCUGGUGUUUCAUAGCAGAUUUCUUGAAUUAAAAAUAAAUUAUUGGAAUGACCUAUUUAGUGACAACAGAUUUUUUCAUGUUUUGACAGAUUUUUAUUUUAUCAUGACAGAUUUAUCGGAUCUUAUCACGACAAGAUUAUGUUUGGCAAUUUUUAAAAAAAUCUGCAAAAUUAGGAUAUGGCAGAUUUAAUUUUAAUGUAGCAGACUUAUUAAAAUUAAAUGUCAUAUUUGAUUUUUAAUUUAAAAAAACGAAUUUGGUUUUUAUUUUUAAAGGAAAUGGCAUAAUGAAAGGUUAAAUAGUCUUUUUACAUAAAAUUUGGGUUAGUCUAGUUAUCCAUCUGGAUUGAGAGUCAUUCUAGUUAUUUUUGCUAAGUUUUGAGUCAAACUGGGUAAAUUUGACUUUAAAUUAUCGCAGAUUUAUUUGGUCCCUAUUUUCAUCAUUGUGGUGUAGAUUUAAGUUAUCGCAGAUUUAUUUGGUCUAUAGAUUUAUGUUGUCACAGACUUAUUUGGUCCCUAUUUUCAUCAUGCCAAGGGAUUUUGCACUUCCAAUACCAGAGCAUGUUGCGACUAAAGUGUGUUCGCCACCUAUUCCGAAACAACAACCAGGUAGGCCUAAAAAGUCAAGAUUUAAAUAUGUCAGAAAGCCAUGGAGAAUAAGAGGCCUAGGAAACAACACACGUGUACCAGUUGUAAUGAAACUGGGCAUAAUCGUAAAACAUGCAAGAAUGCAUAAACUUGAUGAAGUAAUCUCUGUUCUAAACUUUUGUUGUAUUUUUCAAACUUGUAUGAGUGUUGUUGUUGAACAUGUAAGACGUCUGUAUUGACAUGUCAAACUUUAAUGUGUUAUUGUAGAACAUGUGUGUUGUUAUGGAACUUGUAUGUGUUGUUAUGGAACUUGUAUCUAUAAGAAUUCACGUCUUACAUGUUCUAAUAAAAUUCUGUGGUUACAAUGACACUCAGAUAAAAUAACUGGUUCACACCAAAAAAGUCGGUGGUAACACCUGCAACAAUUGGUUCACACCAAAAAAGUCUGUGGAAACAAUAACAUUCCUAAAUAAGAAAACUUGCAACAUCUGACUCAAAACCAAAUGCAACCACGACCAUAUCAUAAAGAGACUCAUUCUGAGUGAUCAUUGAGAUAAGGGAUCUCGAACUCUGCACGACGAGGCAAUGGAUUAGUCAAUGCUACGUCUCCCGUCGGUGGAACUUCCUCAAACAUCUCAGCUCCUAAUCUAUCCCGCAAUGCCUGAAUGUUCCCAUCGUUAAGUCCAUCAAACUGCCAUCCUAAGGCUAAGCACUUUUUUUCUUCUCCAGAAUCCUAGAUGCAUUUUUCAAAACAAAUCUGUGAUCAACGAAUCAAAACUGUGGACAUACUUAAAACAAGUCUGUGAACAUAUUAAAAAAAAUCUGUGGUUAUGUCAAAACAAAUCUGUGGUGAUACUAACAAAUCUGUGUCUUAGUAAACACAAACCAGCGAAAUUCAUAGUCACUGAAGUUAACUCCACCGGAAUCUAUGUUGAUGACUAGACAGAACCCAUCGAGAACCAAUAAAUCUGCAAUCAAAACAAUGCAACCAACAAACAAAUCUGUAAUGAUAAAUCUGCAAUCAAAACAAUACAACAAACAAACAAAUCUGUGAUGAGCAGCAAUUAAAUCUAAAAACACUAACAAAAGGAUAUGCAAUCAAAAUACAACCAACAAAACAAUGCAACCAACAAAGAUACUCGCAAUAUGAUCCUGCAAUAGACAUUAAUAAAAUUGUUAUUACUUAAAACAUAUCUGCGAUGAGCAACAAAUAAAUCUACGAAAACGAACAAACAAGUCUGUGAUGAGCAACAAAUAAAUAUGUGAUAAUUAACAAAUAAGUCUGCCGUCAAGACUGACAUUUCAUCGAACACCUUUCAUGCAAUAUGUUUUUCCAACUCAUUUUAUAAAAAUAUAAACCAUAAAUCAAAGGAAAACCUCAACGUUGCUGCUGCUGGUGACGUAAUCCGACAUAGAUGUUGGCGGCGAAGCCUAAGAAGAUGAAGUAGAAGCGGCGGAGAAGAGAGAAGCGAUGGUUUCCAGCGGAAAAGGGAGAAGCGGUAGAGAGGGCAAGAGAGGAGAAAGAUGAAGCGGCAGGUACUGGUGGACAAAGCCGGACGGAAGCACAGCGGUCGGAGUUACGACAAACGGAAUUUAGAAGAGAGGUGGCGGCUAGGUUUUGGAGGAAGAGAGAAGUGAAGUGUCGAGAGAAAAAUGUGAAAAAGAAAACAUGAAUUUUAGAUUUUAAUAUUUUUCUUUCUUUUUAGUUUACUUUUUACUAAAAAUAAUUCAUAAUGGCAGUUUUGUUAAUGUUAAAAAAAGUGGUUAGAAUGUCUUUGUCAAAAAGAUAUGGGUUAGUCUAGUUAGAGCUCCCAGAACUGAGUCACUCUAGUUAUUUCACUACAAAUAUGGGUCAUUCUAAGUAAUUAAAGUAACGAACUUUUACUUUCAUUUCAGAAAUCAAUCGUUCUACGUUUUUAUCAAUUGCUAUAAUAACGAACUUGUGCAAUCUUAUAUAAUAUUGUUGGUGUCGGAUCCCGCACCAGAAGUACGAGACCAACCAAAGAUUGCCACGUAAUCAAGAUAAUGGCCCAUAAAGGAUGAAGCCCAUUGGACCUGUGAGCCAAAGGGACGGUCGAAGUGGUUGUCACCAUUUCGAGAAUCCGAAGUGACUGCACUGUGACACGAGUUCGGUGUAGAAGACACGGGAAAGUCGGUUCAAGGACACUUGGGCCAAAAGAGGCGAGGCCCAUAAAGAUCAGAGUCAACUCAAAUUCAAACGUUGAGCAUUAAAGUCGAAGAAUCAAAACGGACACAUUUAAGAAGGAAUAAUUGUACUUAAUUUCUCAUUUUAAUGUCGUUUAUCUAUGUAUAAAUAUAGAGGCCAAUGGCCAUGUAAAGGGGGGCUUCCUCUCAAAAAAGAAAUACAAUAGCAAUUCUCGUAGCAAUUUAUAAGUUUUUACAUAUUCAUUUUUUGUCCCUCAAGAAUAAUCUUUCCUACUUAAUAAAAUACUUGAGUGUGUGAAUCCGACAUCCACAUUUUGGCGCCGUCUGUGGGGAUCGAAGGUUCUUGAGUGGUCAGAUUUUUUCUUUUUCACACUUCCGAGAUAAGCAACAAUGUCCGGAGGAGACGCCGCUGAGACAUCAUUGGCCGAAACCCUCAAAGCUAUGCAGCAAACCAUGUCGGACAUAUCACAAAAGUUCUCGGAUGUGGAAAAGGCCGUCGAUACGUUGCAAACAUCCCAGGUAUCUCUUAGUCAAAACGUCAAUACUAUACAAACUCGUGUUCGUUCUUUAAGUGCAGGAAACCCGAUGGGAAUCCGAAGAGAGAUAUUCAACUCGCCAAGUUCCGCUGCACGAAAUGAAACCAGCGGACAAACAACCCCCGGUGCUACUAAUAAUGUAGCUCAGACGUUGGAGGAAGAGACGCAGCUCGGGGAUGAAGAACAACUUGCAGCUCAGUACGAGCAGGAGAACCUCGACCAGUUCGAGACCAUGAGGAAGGUUAGCCAGGAAUUAAAAGAAAUGAAAUCAAAAUUUCAUCAAGCUACAAGUUCAGAGCCAGACAUCAAUCGAGUCAUUGAAGAGGCUAGGCGAACACCUUUCAUCUCGGGAAUAGCAAGUUUGAGGAUCAAAGAUUCCCGAAAACUCAAGUUGGACCCUUACAGCGGAUUGGAGGAUCCAAAAAACUAUCUCGCAGCUUUUCUGAUCGCUGCAGGAAGAGUCGAGUUGGAUGAAGCUGAUGAGGACGCAGGCUACUGCAAGCUUUUUUUCGGAGAAUCUAUGUGGCCAAGCUCUAAUGUGGUUCACCCAAUUAGAGCCGGGUUCGAUCAGUAAUUUCGACGAACUAUCAGCCGUAUUCUUAAAGCAAUACUCCAUCCUUAUGGAUAAAAGCGUUUCAGAUGCCGAUCUUUGGAACUUAUCGCAAGGAUCUAAUGAGUCACUUCGAUUUUUCAUCACCAAAUUCAAAGGAGUGCUGUCAAAGCUCCCAAGAAUCUCGCAGCAAUCAGCUUUGUCUGCCUUACGAAAAGGAUUGCGACAUGAUUCAAGGUUUAAAGAAGACUUAAUACUUCAUAAACCAGACACAAUUCAGGAUGCACUCUUUCGCGCGAACAACUGGAUGGAGGUAGAGGACGAAAAAGAAAGUUUUGCCAAAAGAAAUAAGCAAGAAAAGCCAGCAAUCACCGUCCCUGCCAGGAAGUUCGAGCCUAGGGAGAGCAAGGGACCAAAGAAGUUUGGGUCGCAACCUUUCAACAAUACCGUUGGAAAGCAAUUCCAAGGGAAAGGAAGAUCAAACACUUGGGUCCGUGAUGAAAGUCUAUAUUGCGACAUUCAUAAAGUAACCGGACAUUUAACCAAGGAUUGCAGCGUUCUUAAAAAGCACCUCGCAGAACUUUGGGCUAGUGGCGAUCUUUCCAAAUUCGAUAUAAAAGAGUUUGUGAAGGAAUACCACAAAGCAAAGGAAAACUCCAAAGAUCAAGAUUCCAAAAGACCAAGGUUAUCCAACGAGGAAGAACCAAGGAGUUCGAAGGGUAAGAUCAAUGUGAUUCUAGGAGGUUCCAGAUUUUGCGGAGAUUCAAUAAGUUCCAUCAAAAAACAUAGACGAAAUGUCUUACUCAAAGCAAGCUUGAGCGAAGAAAUUGAUUUUCAAGGUGCUUCAAUAUCAUUUAACGAAGAAGAAACGCGGCAUCUCGAAAGACCGCAUGACGAUGCUCUAGUCAUUACUCUUGAUGUCGCUAACUUCGAAGUAUCAAGGAUCCUUAUAGAUACAGGCAGUUCGGUCGACUUGAUCUUUUUAAGUACUCUAGAAAAAAUGGGAAUCAGCCGAGGAGACAUAGUAGGACCCCCAUCUCCGUUAGUUGCGUUCACAAGCGAAUCAGCCAUGUCUCUCGGAACAAUCAAGCUACCAGUCCUUACCAAGAAGGUAUCGAAGAUCGUGAACUUCGUUGUCUUCGAUAAGCCCGCAGCUUACAACAUCAUCCUCGGGACUCCCUGGAUUUAUCGAAUGAAAGCAGUCCCCUCUACAUACCAUCAAUGUAUCAAAUUUCCAACAUCAAAUGGGGUGGAAACAAUUCGGGGAGAUCAAGAAGCUUCACGGACGUGUUACUUAGCUAGCCACCGUUUGAAGAUCCAAUAACAAUUAACAAAGCCCGCAAAAGAAGGACUAAGGCAAAAAUUUCCUAGUGGGCAGGGAAAGGAGGAUGUGGUAGUCGAAGUUGUAUUGGAAGAAGACAAACCAGAUCGGAAAGUUCGAAUUGGAGCAACAUUGACUGACCAAAUAAAAGAAGCUUUGAUCGAACUCUUAAGGAAAAACAAAGCAUCAUUUGCAUGGUCAGCAGCGGACAUGCCUGGCAUAAAUCCAAGUAUAAUUUGUCAUGAACUAAACGUGGAUCCGAGCUUCAAACCGGUGAAACAAAAAAGAAGAAAGCUUGGAGUAGAGCGAGCAAAAAUAGUAAAUGACGAAGUGGAUAAACUUUUGAAGAUAGGGUCCAUAAGAGAAGUGUAAUAUUCGGAAUGGGUAGCAAACACUGUCGUCGUCAAGAAAAAGAACGGGAAAGAUAGGGUUUGCAUCGAUUUUACAGACCUGAAUAAAGCAUGUCCCAAAGAUAGUUUCCCGCUCCCGCAUAUAGAUCGACUUGUAGAGUCCACCGCUGGAAAUGAGCUGUUAACGUUCAUGGACGCCUUCUCGGGUUAUAAUCAGAUAAUGAUGAACCCCGACGAUCAAGAAAAGACGUCAUUUAUCACAGAUAGAGGUAUCUACUGUUACAAGGUAAUGCCUUUUGGUUUGAAAAAUGCAGGAGCAACUUACCAACGGUUGGUGAACAAAAUGUUUCACAAUCACCUCGGGAAGACUAUGGAAGUCUACAUAGAUGAUAUGUUGGUUAAAUCGUUAAAAAAAGAAGAUCAUGUUAAACAUUUGGAGGAAUGUUUUGAUAUUCUUAAUAAAUAUCAAAUGAAGCUGAACCCGGCGAAGUGCACAUUUGGAGUCCCAUCCGGAGAAUUUCUUGGCUAUAUCGUGACAGAAAGAGGGAUUGAAGCCAAUCCAAAUCAAAUUAACGCCUUUCUAAACAUGCCAUCUCCAAGAAACUUCAAAGAAGUACAACGGUUGACUGGGCGGAUUGCGGCUUUGAAUCGUUUUAUCUCGAGAUCAACAGAUAAGUCUUUGCCUUUCUACCAAAUUCUAAAAGGGAACAAAGGAUUCCUUUGGGAUGAGAAGUGUGAAGAAGCUUUUGGGCAGCUUAAGGCAUACUUAACCACUCCACCUGUACUGUCCAAACCGGAAGUGGAGGAAAAACUUUACUUGUACGUAUCAGUUUCAAACCACGCGGUUAGUGGAGUCUUGGUUCGGGAAGACCGUGGGGAGCAGAAACCAAUUUACUACGUGAGCAAGUCAAUGACGGAUCCGGAAUCCAGAUACACAAUGAUGGAAAAACUUGCACUCGCGGUGGUAACUUCGGCUCGGAAGCUGCGUCCAUAUUUUCAAUCCCAUCCGGUUGAAGUAUUAACUAACCAACCGCUCCGAACAAUACUUCAUAGUCCAAGUCAGUCCGGACGUUUGGCGAAAUGGGCGGUGGAAUUAAGCGAGUACGACAUAGAGUUCAAAAGCCGGAUCAGCAUGAAGGCUCAGGUUCUAGCAGAUUUCCUGACCGAACUACCAAUACCUGGAACGAUAGAGCAACCGGAGAACCAAACUUGGAAAUUACACGUAGACGGGUCUUCAACAAAACAAGGAUCCGGAGUGGGAAUCAAGUUGGAAUCUCCAACGUCAGAAAUUCUAGAACAAUCGUUCCGAUUGUUAUUCAAUGCCUCCAACAAUGAGGCGGAAUACGAAGCCCUUAUUGCCGGACUUCGACUAGCACAAGGAGUUGGAGCUAAGGAAAUACUGGCUUAUUGCGAUUCGCAAUUAGUAGUUAACCAAUUUAAUGGAGACUAUGAAGCGAAAGAUUCAAGAAUGGAAGCGUACCUUGAAGUGGUAAAGGAUUUAUCUAGGAAUUUCUCGAAAUUCGAAUUAAUCCGCAUACCUCGGGGAGAGAAUACAACUGCAGACGCACUUGCCGCAUUGGCGUCAACAUCAGAUCCUGAGUUAAAGAGAGUUAUUCCAGUAGAAUGCAUCUCGGAGCGAAGCAUUCAGGACAGCAAGGAAACCCUCGUCGUCACAAGGUCUCAAGCAGCGGCACGUGACCGUGGCGAACCAGAGAUCGAACCGCCACCCAGCAAACGCAGAAAAUCAAAGGGAUCAAAUACAUCUAACAAGGAACCCGUUGUCUUAGCUGAAGAAGUGAUUCCAGAAACGAUGUUAGAAACCGAGCCAUUAAUCGAAGAGAAUAUUCUUGAACCAAACGAACAUCCCGAACCAGAGCCACGGAUAUUUCACAAAGUUGACCAAAUUCCGGCUAAAGACUGGGGGGCUGACUGGAGGGAGCCAAUAAAGCACUACAUCAUGACAGGUGAGCUCCCAAAGAAUAAAUGGCAGGCCAGGAAAAUGAAAGUCGUUAGCGCGAAAUUUUGUCUGUCAAAGGAUGCGUUGUAUAGACGAGGUGUCAGUGACCCUUACCUAUUAUGCAUUUUUGGGCCCGAAGUCGAAAUCGUCAUGAGCGAGGUGCACGAAGGAUUGUGUGGGAGUCAUUCAUCAGGAAGAGCUAUGGCUUUUAAAGUUAAAAGAAUGGGGUAUUUUUGGCCCACUAUGAUCACAGAUUGUGUUAAGUUCGCCCAAAGAUGCAAGCGCUGCCAACUCCAUGCACCAUUGAUCCAUCAACCGUCGGAAUUAUUCUCCUCCAUUUCUGCCCCAUAUCCGUUUAUGAGGUGGUCAAUGGACAUCAUUGGGCCAUUGCACAAAUCAACUCGAGGUGUACAGUACCUUUUAGUCCUUACGGACUACUUUUCAAAAUGGAUUGAAGCUGAGGCGUAUGUCGGUAUCAAGGAUUCGGCGGUGAAGACCUUUAUUUGGAAAAACAUUAUAUGUCGACAUGGAGUUCCAUACGAAAUAGUCACUGAUAAUGGGCCACAAUUCAUUUCACACGAGUUUGAUGCCUUUUGUGCGGACUGGGGAAUCAAAGUUAGUUAUUCUACUCCACGAUAUCCGCAAGGAAACGGACAAGCUGAAGCCGCGAACAAGACAAUAUUAAGCAAUCUCAAGAAACGCUUAAGUCAUCUAAAGGGAGGAUGGUAUGAAGAACUCCAACCCGUCCUGUGGGCCUAUCGUACAACCCCUAGGCGACCUACAGGAGAAACUCCAUUCUCUUUGGUUUAUGGCAUGGAGGCGGUAGUACCAGCUGAACUCAAUGUGCCCGGACUUCGUCGAACAGAAGCACCGUUAAAUGAGGAAGAAAAUUCAGCAAUGCUUAAUGAUUCACUAGAUACCAUAAAUGAAAGGCGUGAUCAAGCUCUAAUUCGGAUCCAGAAUUACCAACAGGCAGCAGCCCGGUAUUACAAUUCUAAGGUUAAAAGUAGGCCGUUCUUCGUGGGAGAUUAUGUAUUAAGGCGCGUCUUUGACAAUAGAAAAGAAGAAGGUGCCGGUAAACUCGGUAUUAAUUGGGAAGGACCUUACAUUAUUACCGAAGUGGUUCGGAACGGUGUUUAUAGGUUGAAAGACUUAGAAGACAAUCCAGUCAAGCGACCUUGGAAUGUGAUCAACCUAAAGAAAUUUUAUGUUUAAAGCUACAUGCAUUGUUUAUGUACAUGAACUACGGUGUGGCUUGAUCCCGAGAUGGGUACGUAGGCAGCUCGAAAACGAGUUCAGCUAUUAAUAAAAAUUUGUUUUAUUUCUUUAUUAAAGGAGGAAGGUUCGGCUAAGCGAACAUAUAAGGAAUUGGAAAUAAAGCAUUAUUUAGAAGACGGAAUAUCCCUCAUCGUACACUUCGGACUAUGGAAAUCUUGUUGACGAGCAGAACACUUCAACUCCUUGACCAGCAAGAUCGAGGAUUGGCAUCAUGCAGUCCGGAAUUCGAGCAAAGUCUGAAAUUCCAAGUUCAAUCCACUCUCCGGGGUGAGAUUCAAGGAUGUGAAGAUCUCUUGACACCGUAGUAAGCCUGCGUUGCAUCCGGUUAAUCCUCUUCCGAAGUCUCCUCUUUUCCGACAUAAGCUUCCGGUGUUGAAGCUCGAGUGCCUCUAUGAACGCCGUCGCUGUUCCUUGGUCCCUGAUUGGGAGAUCCCUGAUCAAAGCACAUGGGGCUCGGAUCUGAGAUCUCAAGAUGCCGCGAAGUGGAGGAGGCCGCCUGUUUGGCUCAUUUGGAACAUCUUCGCUCAUCAUUCCGAUUCUGGAGAAGUCAGGCAUAGAUUCUGAACAGCGAAGAUUGAACUCCAUACCUACUAAAAUGAAAAGAAUGGUGAGGAGUAAAGGGAAAUUGAGACUACAAUUUAUAGGAACCCCAUAUCCUUAGCAAGCUGCGGAUUCUAUCCAAAGAAUGGAGUGAUUCGCGGAGAGAUUUAUGCCUUCGAACAGAUCCUGCAUUAAAAGGCGCAUCUCCGAGAAUAUUUGAAAAGAAAGGAAAGUUGCAAAUAUUUCCAUAAAAUAAAAAGGGGCCGAAGCCCAUUACGAGUUUAAAAUAAGUGAAGAAGUUAAAGAACAUUUAUGGGAGAGGCUCAGGAACAGGCUCCUUCAUCGCCGGUUUAGUCUUCGAAGUGGACGCCUUGUUCUUGACAUCCACUUCGGAACGAUCCCGAACGCGUUUCCGACAGUUGCUGGCCUCCUCCUCCAAAUCGUCUUCCUCUUCACUGUCAGAUGGAACGGCGCAGACAGGGGCGUUCACGGGACCCGGAACUCCUUUGGCGCGAAGAUACAUCCGAAGCAUCUUCGGGAUCUUAGCAACAGAAUCGAAAUUCCGCCAUUCCCAUUGGAAGGGAUCACUUUCCAAGGCCCGUAUCUUCCUCUCCACCCGAGCGAUGCGAGCCUCGAGUGUUUGCCUUUUGAGGCCCAGCCGCUGCCUCUCUUCACAUAAGCGACGGUGCUUGUCGGCCACCUAGCAUAAAGAUGAGUGAAUAAGAUGAAGCAAAAAGUUUUUGAGUCAAAAACUUUAAAUAUUUACCUUGUCGAUAAAGUCGCAAGCCUCUUUCUUCUCCUUUGAAGGGAAGUGAAAGACGGCGUGAGGAAAGAGAACGCCGGCCGGUUCAAAUCCGUCGCCGGACAAGAAAAGUGGGCUGCCGGGGUCGAUGGGGGCUACUCCUUCGUUUUCCAUUCUCAAAAUAUUUCUCAAGUAAGAUUCUAAAAUCGUGUGUAAAUAAAGCUUAGAAGUAGGUAAGCCUUUAUUUAUAAUGAUUUAGGGUUUGUCUUGGAACCAUAAACCCAAUAAUGGUAGUGUGUCCGAAUGGUUUAAACCAUUUUUGGAAAUCGAGAAAAGGCAGUUAUUGCAUUAAAGACGAGCCGUUUUCUUUACUUAUAAGAAGGGAAAGCGCAACCGUCGCAUUAACUACAAAAGUUUCUAAGAGCAUGAUUAUAGGUAGGCUCUUAGAAAUACCUCUUAGCAAUAUUUAAGUAAUUUAUUUGUAAAAGUGAUUGUUAAGAGAUAGUAUUUUUGAGUUAAGAUUUUUGUCUGAUUAAUGGUAGGCUCUUAACAUGUGGUUCUUAAAUAUUAAAUUUUUGAAAAUUAUUUUAGUGUAAAUGUAUGGAAUUGGUUUAUGAAAAAAGUUUUAAGUGUAUGAAAUUUGUGUUUAAGUUAAAGAGAUAUGAAUAACACACACCAUGAUGAUCCAAACUCAGUCAAAAGACAUAGCACCAUGAAGCGCAGUUAAAAAUGGAGAAAACCGAAAAGAGGAUGACUUUGUAAUUAUGAUGUCUCACACCAUGAAGGUAAUCAAGUCUCCGGUCUCGGAUGGAUUAUACGCAAUUCUCAUGGAGUUUUUCAGGAUUGUGGGAUGGGUCAAUUCCAAGGGAGGAUGACAACAGAAGAAGCGAAGUACACGGCUUUAAUAUGGGCAAUGCAAGCAGCUUGGGCACUAGGAUACCGAGCGGUCGAGUUCGAAGGAGAUAAUCAAAAUGUAAUCCGAAUAAUCAAUGGCUCUGCUUUGAACCCACGGCUCAAUCACUUCUUAAACACGAUAUGGGGAUGGAGAGAUAAGUUUCCGGAUGCAAAGUUUCUAUUCACGCAUCGUCAACAAAAUCAGUGUGCGGAUUUACUAGCAAAGACCAUUAGAACUUCUCCAAACCAAUGGUGUAUGUACCAUCAUGUCCAAUGUUUCUUAAUACCGUUGUAAACAAUGAUCUUUGAUAAGUUUUAAUAAAAAGCCAUUAGAAGGAAAAAAAAAAAAAAAAAAAAGUUAAAGAGAUAUGAAUAUAAUUUUAGUUAAAACUCAUAAACCAUAAAAAAUUUAUUCAUCUCUUUGUCUUCAGUUUACAUAUCAAAGACAAAUGUCCUCCAUCUUUUAAAUCAAAUCUAUAUUAUCUCUGUUACAUCAACACAAAGACUCAAAAUUGCAUUUUGUUUACUCGAAGAACAAGCACUUUUACUAAUGUUUGUCAAGUUUCAAAACGUUGUCACCGCAGAGCCGGCCAAGAUCUUCUUGUGUGAGCAGACUCCCCAUGCUUCACCUAUUCUUGUUUUCAUUCUUUCAACUGCACACAUGAAACUCAAACCUGAUCAAGAUUUUAAAACAUUGGACCAGUCAAAUACCCAAUUGACAAAAUCUGAAUUGCUUUCCCACUCCAGAUUUAGUAAAAUUAUCUAUACAAAACUUCCAUUGGUUGAUUUGCAUAUCAGAUACUAGACAAGGAAAACUUACCCGUGAGCAUGCUCGACAUCAAUAAUAAAACAAAAAUGCAGAGAAAUCAAGUAGUGCCAUGUCAAAAAGAACAUUAGAUUUUGUUAAAAUGUAUUGUAGUGAAUCACACCCCAUGAGAAGGAAACAUAUGAGCGAUCAUAAACAAUCUAUAAUAAACCAUAAUUCGAUUCAUCUCCACUAGUCUAAACUUGCUCCUCCUCCAUCUUCCUCAUGAAACCAAGCUUUUGAAACCGAUGGUGGAAGUCAAUUUUGAUAAUCAACACCGCUAAUCUAACUAGUAAUUUAGGCAUUCUAUUAUAAUUAGUGAAUUCUACUUUUCUUUUUCCCAAAGACUCAUCUUUACCUUUUGAUCAAAUUCAAAACCUCAAAGUAAAACACAUAAAUUUUGAUCAAAUUCAAGAGGAAAAUACCAAAUCCUUAACAGUUUCAACACAAAUCCCCAAUUCCAUGAAACCUACUUUCUAAAAACUCUAAUCACAUCAAUUCAUACAAUCAGAGAUAGAUUCAUACCAUGACAAACCGAGUUGGUGAAACAUUACCUCCGAUUUGCAAAUCGAAACUCGGAGAUCUUGUAAAAAUAGUCUCCGAUUUCGAAACCCCACAUCGCCGAUUAGGUUAACCGAAAACGCCGUGAACGACAAACGUCGGUGGAGAUGAUGAGAUUACAGCGGAAGGACGGCCGGAGGAACAUUGGAGAAUCCUCAGAUUGGUUUUGAUUUCUCUGUUUUUGUCUGAAGAAAUUGCGUAAGAGAGAGAGAGAGAAGAGAGAGAAGAAGAAACGAGAUUUUUGUCUCUUAACUAAGGAACGUCUCUUAGUUAUUUACAUCAUUUGGCAUUUAAUUUAAUUCUUAUAUUACUUAAGAUUUGGCUAAGAUUUGGCUAAGAGACUUACAAUAAUCAUGCUCUAAGGCCCAAGCCCAACAAGUUUAUCGAGUUGACUAAACCCGAAGUGGGGAACUCGCUUUAAGCCGAGCUCAGUUCUCGCAUUUUAAAGAGAAAGGUCUGAUCAGCCUAAAAAUCUCAAAAGCAUAACCACAAGGCCACAAAAGGUUAAAAAGCGGACUUUGCAAACCCGCAUAUAAUUUUAACCAAAUCCCCUUGGGUCGCAACCUAGAAAGGUUUAAAAACCUCUUCAGGCAAAUAUCUUGUUCAAAAGAAAAUAAAGCCUCCUUAGGCAAAAAUAAGUUCGAAAUUAAGUCUUAAAAAUUAAAGGGACAAUCCCCAAUUUAAAGUGGACACAGCCACUACGGAGCAGCAGCCACCUCGGAAUCCGGCUCAACAGUCGAAGCUUCAUUCGCCUCCUUGGCAGCUGCUUGGUCAGAUGAAAUUCUUGAUCCGCUCUCCACGGUACAACCAACCUCCGGAGUGACCUCCGGUACCAUAGGAACUACGGGCGGGACAACGUCUUCCGUCUCACUUGAGCCUAGGAAUAAUAAUUCCAAUCAAUCAAAGGUACAAGGUAAGAAAAGGUAAUAAAUAUCAGGAGCCAAGCAUUACCUGCCCAGUCUAGACCUGAUUCACUUAUAGGAGGCGAUUCAGUGAAGAAUUCCUCGAAGUCCUGAGGGUUGAAGGUCGAAGUAGGAAGAGCUGCCAAGCGACUCCGCUUUUCAGAAAGAUUAGCCGACAGUUCGGUUCUCUCUUGCUCCUCGGAGAAAUCUGUAUCAUGGAUUUGAUCCAGCAGGAUCAGGUUGCUCUCGUGCUCCUUGAUGUCCGAUUCCAAAUCAGACCUAGCCUUCUCAGUCUGCAUGAAUCGGAUGGCCCCUUGGAUCAACUCCAUCCUGCGUCCCUUAACCUCUUUUCUGGCUUUUGAUGCCGACCUCGCCAACUCGGAGUCACGCAAUUUGGCAAUCGCCUUGUACUUUGCGUUAAGCUCGAUGAGUUGGUUGUUCAGGGAAUCAGCGUUUGAUUCGGACUCUUGAAGCCUACCCUGAACACCAGAAAACUCUUCCUGGAGCUUGAAGUUCUGGUCGUACUGACCCUGUAGCUCCCCCUUUAUCUGCGCAAGCUCUGAUGUUAAACUGUCGACCUUGUCCUCCAGAUCGUGCUUGGAGCCGACAGAAGAGCUGAGUUCAGCCUCAAGGGCAGAGAGUUUCUUUUUCCACAUGUCAAUCUCCUUCUCCCGUCCAAUGACCAACCCUUCGUAAUGUUCGAUCAUGUCGUUAAAUUCGCUAUGAGCCUGGCAUUAUUCAUGAACCCGGGAUGGCGAGUUAGUUCGCGGAAUGGCAAUGCAAUAAAAAAAAAAACGGAACUAACCCGAGAUGAGUGAUGCGCGUGAAGCAAAUAGCGUUCACGAAUCGCAGGGCGCCAUUUGUCGAAGUCUGGCAGGAUCGAACCCGAUCGGGUCUUGAAGCAUCGGAAGACGCUGCCCUCUUUCUCCAUAGCUGCGAAGAAGGAAGAGUUGUAAAAAUUGGAAUUUUAAUAAAGACAAAAAGUUUAAGUAUGUGUAAAUCACCAAACCUGAAAGCGAUUUGACUUGAGGGACAAGAACAGGCUUCAGCCUCGAGGGAGCAUCUCGAGAUUCAGAAUCUCCACUUUUAGGGGAUGCACUUCGAGCAGUCUUUUCACUGACGGGCUGGGAAGAAGAAGACAUGUCAACAGGUCGGGGAGGACCCAUUGGUUCAGCAGAAGGGGAUGAUCGAGGUGAACGGUCAGUCCGGGCCCUUGAUUUCUCCCUUCGCGGAGACGAGUCAUCACGGGACGACUUGUCCCUCUUCUUACGAACCAAAUUCUUAAGAGGUUCGUUGCUGAAAUCGUCUCGGGGAGGACGAGGAGAAUCACGACGCGGAGACCGCUCUCUCUGAGGAGAACGCUCGUCGCGGCGUUCGCGGCGAGGUGUUAACCUAUAAGCAGCAACGGAUCUGGCUCCCUCGGAGCUGUUGUCAUCAACCAGCAGGGUCCUGCUGUAAUCUUUUUUGUCGAUGGCGGUCGCAAGGAACGCCUUGUUUUCAUCACAAGCCUCUGCUAUCGGUUUGGAGAGCUUCUUACGCUGGGCAGCGAGGGCCCGAGCUGACAUUCCCUGAGUUGAGGGAGGAGGCGGAAGACGAUGAAGUAGAUUGGGAGGACUCAUCCUGAGUUUCCGGUUGGCCUCGACAAAUCGGUCGAGGGUAAAAGAAUUCCAAAGGGUUUCCCCUUCAAGGAUUGUUUUGAAGAACUUGACAAAUUCUUCAGUCGGGAGAGUUGAAGCGAUGAAAGCUGCGAAAUGAAACAACGAAUUCGGUCAGUAAAAAAUAAUAAUAAACAAUAAAGGAAUAUACGACCUAGUCUCUACCAGGUUUCGCAGACCACUUCGAUGGGAGUACAUCGGAAAGAUUCCCAAUCGAAGCAGGAGUUUUCUUAAUCAGAAACCAAGGAUGGUGCCAGUUCUCAUCCUUGUUCGGGAGGUGCGAGAUGACGUUUCUAUUGGCAUUUGGAUACGCCGAGAAGUACCCAGUUUUCUUUGAUGAACUCCUUACGCUUAGGAGUUCAUUCAGCUCGGGGACUCCAAUGACGUAGCCAGCCUCCGCCGCAACGGUUAUAAUCCCGAGGAUGGUUCGGAGGAGAUUGGGGGUUAAUUGAGGUAAAGCGAUCUCAAGAGCCGCCAAGAAUCGAACUAGGGCUUCGGGAAGGGGGAAGGUCAAUCCGCAGCCCUUGAAGUAAAUUUCGUAAACACAAAAGUAGCCGGCACGGUGGUUCUCAGGAGAUUCCGUAGGGUCGGCUAUUUGCGCCUCCGCUAUAAUUUCAGGAGGAAUUUGACAAAGCCCCUUCAAUCGCUCAAGGGAUUGAAGAGUACAGGUGGAUUUGUAAUGAGGACCGGCGAUGUCGUUAGGACGAGUGCAUUCGUCAUUACUAGAACGCCUCUCGUCGUAAGACGGAGAUUCAGGUCUUUCAGAAUCAGAAGUCAUCGAAUAAAAAUGAAAAAUUCAAGAUCCGGCGAAGAGAGGUUUUUUGUGAAGAAGAGAAGAGAGAGUUUUUGAUUAAAGUACAAAAGUAAAAGAAGAGAGUAAUGGUGAAAAGAAGUUACCUCAAGCUAAUGAUGAAACCGCCUCGGAAGUCGUGUGGGAAGUGGGAAGGUUUUUCCCGUUUUAAUAGUAAUUAAUCAAUAUACCGUCAUAAUGAUGACAGAUGUCACUCGGUUAAAAAUGGCUAGUGCCGAAAUUAAAGGAGUGAUGAGAUUUUCGGCGGGAAAUCAGAAAGAUUCUCGAGCGCAAUCUUUGGCAACUUGAGCAUUUAAAGUCCUCCGAAUUGGAAUAGCACUUCGAAGAACUUGGGGGGCUAAUUGUUGGUGUCGGAUCCCGCACCAGAAGUACGAGACCAACCAAAGAUUGCCACGUAAUCAAGAUAAUGGCCCAUAAAGGAUGAAGCCCAUUGGACCCGUGAGCCAAAGGGACGGUCGAAGUGGUUGUCACCAUUUCGAGAAUCCGAAGUGACUGCACUGUGACACGAGUUCGGUGUAGAAGACACGGGAAAGUCGGUUCAAGGACACUUGGGCCAAAAGAGGCGAGGCCCAUAAAGAUCAGAGUCAACUCAAAUUCAAACGUUGAGCAUUAAAGUCGAAGAAUCAAAACGGACACAUUUAAGAAGGAAUAAUUGUACUUAAUUUCUCAUUUUAAUGUCGUUUAUCUAUGUAUAAAUAUAGAGGCCAAUGGCCAUGUAAAGGGGGGCUUCCUCUCAAAAAAGAAAUACAAUAGCAAUUCUCGUAGCAAUUUAUAAGUUUUUACAUAUUCAUUUUUUGUCCCUCAAGAAUAAUCUUUCCUACUUAAUAAAAUACUUGAGUGUGUGAAUCCGAUAUCCACAUUUUGGCGCCGUCUGUGGGGAUCGAAGGUUCUUGAGUGGUCAGAUUUUUUCUUUUUCACACUUCCGAGAUAAGCAACAAUGUCCGGAGGAGACGCCGCUAAGACAUCAUUGGCCGAAACCCUCAAAGCUAUGCAGCAAACCAUGUCGGACAUAUCACAAAAGUUCUCGGAUGUGGAAAAGGCCGUCGAUACGUUGCAAACAUCCCAGGUAUCUCUUAGUCAAAACGUCAAUACUAUACAAACUCGUGUUCGUUCUUUAAGUGCAGGAAACCCGAUGGGAAUCCGAAGAGAGAUAUUCAACUCGCCAAGUUCCGCUGCAUGAAAUGAAACCAGCGGACAAACAACCCCCGGUGCUACUAAUAAUGUAGCUCAGACGUUGGAGGAAGAGACGCAGCUCGGGGAUGAAGAACAACUUGCAGCUCAGUACGAGCAGGAGAACCUCGACCAGUUCGAGACCAUGAGGAAGGUUAGCCAGGAAUUAAAAGAAAUGAAAUCAAAAUUUCAUCAAGCUACAAGUUCAGAGCCAGACAUCAAUCGAGUCAUUGAAGAGGCUAGGCGAACACCUUUCAUCUCGGGAAUAGCAAGUUUGAGGAUCAAAGAUUCCCGAAAACUCAAGUUGGACCCUUACAGCGGAUUGGAGGAUCCAAAAAACUAUCUCGCAGCUUUUCUGAUCGCUGCAGGAAGAGUCGAGUUGGAUGAAGCUGAUGAGGACGCAGGCUACUGCAAGCUUUUUUUCGGAGAAUCUAUGUGGCCAAGCUCUAAUGUGGUUCACCCAAUUAGAGCCGGGUUCGAUCAGUAAUUUCGACGAACUAUCAGCCGUAUAAUUUAUUUCAUCAUUAUAAGAAUAGCACAAUUAGAAAGACUAACGAGGCAUUCCGGGCCGACUGCCUUUGAGAGCCUUUCCCCUGGUUCCAAUCUUAAAUCUCAACAUGAGAGACCCAAAAUCCAUCAAAAACCAAAAUACAAGAGGUUUUGAGGGUAGCUUUUUUUUUUUUGUUUUUUAAAUGAUAUCUCUUCCUUUAAUUUGAUGCUUUAAAUUUAAUUUUAUUGGUUUCUAAUCCUUUUUCCUUCACUAAUAUUUUCGCUUAAUCGAAUUAUGCUUAGUAGCUCUUACCACCAUUUAUUCUAGAGUGAACCUAAUUGACAUCAAAUUCAUGUGUGAGAUCAUAUAACUCUUUGUGGUUUCUUAUGCCUUUUUGUAUUUAUAUCUUAUAGUUUUUUUUUUUAUAUGUUUCAAUUUGUUCAAGUUUUUAUGAGAUCAUUACAUUUGGUAGUUUCUUAUGUUUUUGUAUUUGUCUUUUCAUGGAAUUUCUUAUGUUCAAUUUGUCUCAAAUUUGAUUUUGAACCUUCAUGUGAGGUCAUUAUAUUUUUCUGGUUAUCUAUAGUUUUUAUUUGUUAUGUAUUUCAUGAAAAAAUAGAAGUCAUCAUCCUUAUAAGGUAAAUUACUUACGAUUAAAUUUUCUUAUGAAAUCAAUUUGUAUAUCCUAUACAUCACUUUUAAUAUAAUUGAUGGUGUUAUUUUUUUCUUUUGUUUUUUUAUGUCAUUUUCUAAGUAUAUUUCAAUCCAUAAUGUCAUAUUUUAUUACGUUUAUAAUGGUAAGAUUUGCUGUGUAAUAUAUAUAUAUAUAUAUGUUUUGUGUAUGCAGACUAUAUUGUUGAAAAUAUUUCUAUAUGAUGAUGAAUUUUGUUUAGCUAACAAUUCUAAAUAGGUGACAAUUUUUCAAAAUCACUAAAUACAAUUUCAAAUCUCAUAUAAAAAAUAUUUUCGAAAGAUAUUCUACACAUAUACAAAAUGCUCUUUUGUUUUGCCAACGUGAGCCAUUUUUGUUUUCUUCCGUUAAAAUAAAUUAUCAUGAAAAAUUAAUUUUCUGAUUAAGCGGUAUAUAUUCAAAAUAUAAAUUUAACAAUCUUCAACUUAGCAAUUUUCAAUAAUUACUCUCACAUCUUAUAUAUAUUUUCCAUUUUACUAUCAUUUAUAAAAUUGAGAAUUAACAUAUAUAAGAUGUUCUAAUAUUUGUUUUAAGUGAUAUGUGCCAUAUUUUUCUUAUUUUGUUUCUAUUUUCACUUUCAAAUAAAUAUUGAGCAUCCUUACAGCCUAUUAUUAAUAAAUGAUUUCUUAUUAAUCGAGCAUUAAUUGUAUAAAUGACCUCAUAAUGAUGUUUAAGUUGCCUACAUUUUAAAUAACUAUUUCGACAUUUUAUAUAUUUUAAAAUUUUAUAUACCUAAAUUUUCAUUAUUUUAAAGUAAACAUGUAACAUAAGGGAUAAAGACAAUAUUGAAUAAGCUCUUACAGAUUCAAUUUUAAAACACUUAUGAAUACUACCGUUUAUAAUUAUGACUACGCAUGCUUAUAAUUUUCUUUCUAAUUUAAAAGACUAAUAGCUAUGUGAACUAACUAUUACAUGAAUUAUUAAUAAAUCAAAUUAUCAAAAUGGAUGCAAGAGAUAUAAAUGAUAAUUUAACGUAACAUCCAUGUAUUGUAAUGAUACUACUUGACAAUUUUUCGUAAAAUAUCGAUUAAAUAUUUUUCAUAAUAUCUUAAAUCAUUAUGUUUCUAUUAAAAUUUACCACUAAUGUAUUGUCUUUACAUUUUCUUAGCUUUAUAUAAUCCAACAUUAUUUUGUAGUACUUUAAUUCAAAAUUUUGUUACCCUCUAUAGAUACACAUAAGUUACAAAAAAUUUCACUACAUUAUUUUACAAUUUAUUACAAAUUUGGCAAAAAUAAUAAUAAAUUAUUUGUUAAAUUUAUUUAGUUACUAGGAUUUAAGAGUACUGUUUUGUUUUCUAUAAUUGUGGUAUAAAUUCUAUUUGUGAUGGUAAUAUUGUAAUAAUCAACAAGUAUUUGACUUUUAAGAUAACAAAAUAUUAUCUCAACUCACUAAUUUUUUCACUUCUUGUCCACCGUCUUUUUUUUUUUUACACAAAGCCCUCUCAUUAUUUUUCCAAUCUCCCUCGAAAAUGUUAAUUCAAAAGUCUUUCAAAUAUAUUGAUGAUGUUUUGUCAAAUCAUAUGAUUUAUUUAAACAUGUAAAUUACAACUUUUUAAGUCAUUGUAGAGAAGAAAUAAAUUGGAAGAUUUGUUUACUAAUACUUUUAAUGAAUAAUUUGAAAGCUUUUUGUUAAUAUUUUCUUUAUAAUACAGGUUAUAAUAAGCUUUUAAGUUAAACUAAUUUAGUUUUCUUACGGUAAAAUAUAUUCAAACUAUUCCCACGCAUCGCGUGGGUCUUUUCUAGUAAAAUGAUAUAAUAGAGUUUUACUCACCAGACGAGCAUUUCUCAUCCCAGACAAUUAUCCGGUGGUCAAAAACAGAGGAUCGCGAUUGCUCGGGCUAUUCUCAAGGAUCCUAAAAUUUUGUUGCUUGAUGAAGCGACAAGCGCGUUGGAUGCAGAGUCUGAGCGGGUGGUGCAAGAUGCGCUUGAUCGGGUGAUGGUGAACCGAACCACGGUUGUGGUGGCUCACCGCCUCACUACGAUUAAGGACGCGGAUGUGAUCGCGGUUGUGAAGAAUGGUGUGAUCGCAGAGAGUGGAAGACAUGAGACGUUAAUGGAGAUUUCAGGUGGUACUUAUGCAUCACUUGUAGCUUUUCACAUGAGUGCAAACUGAGACAAAAUGUUGUCAAUGAGAGCAUAAGCUGGCAAUGUUGGAGUACUCUCUGGAUAAAGUUAAUGUUUACCAGAACCGACUUGCUUUUACGUUGGUGUGGCUUCUGUUGCUUUUGGAUCUUCUUACUAUCAUCUUCACCCAAACGAUGCUACUCUCCUCUGGUUUUUAUGUGUAGAAAUUAAUGAUUAGUGUUGAUUAUUUUGGUUAAAAUGUAGAUUUACAAUAUUCUAUUACUUAAAUUUGUAAUCAUAGAGACUAAGAUUCUAGUGCUUAAUUAUACUUUAAGUAAAAUUAUAUUUGAUAGCUUUGUCAAUCAAUUUUCUUUUAAAGAGAUUUCCUGUCUUUUUUGGUCCUGUAAAUCUUUGAAAUAAAGAAAUAUAUAGCAAUUCAUUUUUAAAAAGUUCAAAACGUACCAAAGCGGUUCAUGUCGAGCCGGACCACUGUAGUCUCAUUACAUAGAUUGAUAAAAAGACUAGUAAAGAAAGAGUAAUAUGGAAAAUUGGCCUAGGCCAUGUAAAUCGAUACCAAGAUUCCUGGAGAGGAAGAGGUUGUCAACAUAUGCGAUCACUGAUGCGGAUGCAGAAACAUAGCUUUGAAUAUGUAUCUUGGCCGUUUCCUCUGAGAACGUGAGGAAUUCGUUGAUUCUCCGCGAAUACCGAAUUCUACGUCUUCUUAUAAUCGUUGAGAUCUCUCGAGAUCUACCGAAAACAAGGAUUAGAGAAUACUCUUCUCUGAAAAACUAAAAGCUCUUUAAUUUUAUUAAUCAAAUCAAUUGUAUACAACCCUAGGCCUAAAAGCCUUAUUUAUAAUAAAUCUAAAAAACUCUAGAAUAUUCAUAAAACAAUAAAUAGAAAUUAUCUAAAUAAAGAAAUAGAGAUAUUAGGAAAUAAUAAAGAUAUUUGGAAUUAUCCUAAUUCUACGCUGCAUCAGGUCUCGCCGGCCAAGAAAAGAUUCGUCCUCGUAUCUUGUAACUGCGCUGCAUCAGCUCUCGCCGGCCAAGAAAGAUUCGACCUCGAAUCUUCAGCAGGGUUUUCAGCAUUGGAGAUCUUCGCAGAUCCAUCUUUAUCUUCAUCUCUUGAUUUUUCCCGAUUUUUGCACGAACUGGAUCAGACCCGAAAGUUGCACGAAUCUGAUUUGACCCAAAAUUUGCACGAAUCCGUUUUGACCCAAAUUUGCACGGACCGGAAUAUGUACGAAACUUGCACAGAUCUGAUCUUUCAUGUUUUCUGCAGGAAACCCGAAUUUUGCACAGAUCUGACUACGCCCGGAUUUUGCACGAAGAGUAUCUUGCCCGAAUUCUGCACAGAUUUUCUCGAACGCACCAUCGCUGAACAUAAAAUCGACAUGAUCAAUAAGUAAGACAUCAUCAUCUUCAUAGAUAUCGUAGAUAGGAUCACCGUAAAUUUCUAUGUAACCAUCUUCAAACAAACUUUCUUCUGCAAAGGGAUAAAAGUUACCACUCAACAUGAUCACCAGAAUCGUUCUUCGAUUGAGAAAUCAAAGAGACAGAGCUCUGAUACCAACUGAAGUAGCGGAAGCUUUAAGGAUAGAACUAGAGAUCCGUUGAUUCCUCGGAAUACCGGAAAACUAGGGUUUGAGAGUCCUCCUCUCAGGGCUUUCGCAAAAGCUCUUAGGGUUGUGAAUACUCUUCACAGUUGUUUAUCAAAACCUCUUUAAAUCUUUCGAUUAAUCAAUUCAUCAAUAACUUCAUACAAUAGGAGGCCUAAGAAGGCUAUUUAUAAUAAAAGCAUAAAACCCUAAAAUCCAUAGAAUAUUCUAGAAUAAUUAUAAUUAAUAAAUUAAAAGAUAAUAGAAAUAGAUAUUUGAAAUAUUUCCAAAUAUCUCGCUGCAUCAGGUCUCGCCGGCCAAGAAAAGAUUCGUCCUAGAAUCUUGUAUCUGCGCUGCAUCAGCUCCCGCCGGCCAAGAAAGAUUCGUCCCCGAAUCUUCAGUAGGGUUUUCAGCAUAGGAGAUCUUCGAAUAUCUGUCUUUAUCUCCAACUUUUGAUUCUGCCCGAAAUUUGCACGAACCAUAUCUGAACCGAAUUUUGCACGACUUGUAUGUUGCACGAAAUUCGCACGAAUAUCUUCUUGUACGAAUUUUGCACAGGUCGGAUAUUGCACGAAAUUUGCACAGAUCGGACUUUCCAUAACUUCUGCAAAAAACACGAAUUUUGCACAAGUCGAAAUUCGCCCAGAUUUUGCACUGUUCUGAUUUCGCCCAUAAUUUGCAGAAAUCAGAAUCUCAAAAGCAUCUUCUAGAAAACCCAAAUCGAUAUCUAUAACAUCUUCUUCAUAGAUAUCAUAGAUGGGACCACCAUAGAUCUCUCUGUAGAUCUCAUGGUUUUCUUCUUCUUCAGAAAACAGACUUUCGCCUGUGAUAGGGUAGACGUUUCCGGUCAACCGUUUAAGGAUAAAACUAGAGAUCCGUUGAUUCCUCGGAAUACCGGAUAACUAGGGUUUCUCGGAUCUGUUGAUUCCUCAGAAUACCAGAAACGAGAGAACGUGAGGAAUUCGUUGAUUCUCCGCGAAUACAGAAUCCUACGUCUUCUUAUAAUCGUUGAGAUCUCUCGAGAUCUACCGAAAACUAGGAUUAGAGAAUACUCUUCCUUGAAAAGCUAAAAGCUCUUUAAUUUUAUUAAUCAAAUCAAUUAUAUACAACCCUAGGCCUAAAAGCCUUAUUUAUAAUAAAUCUAAAAAACUCUAGAAUAUUCAUAAAACAAUAAAUAGAAAUUAUCUAAAUAAUUAAAUAGAGAUAUUAGGAAAUAAUAAAGAUAUUUGGAAUUAUCCUAAUUCUACGCUGCAUCAGAAGAAGAGAGCCAAAUCCUGUAGAAGCAGCUAGCUGAAUAGCCCACCCAUGGUGCGGACCAAACACCUGAUUGUAAGCUUUAUAUGCUGCAUCCUUUAGGGGGCUAUCAGCUCUACAAAUCAUAUUCAAACACAUUUAAAAUCUUUUGAUAUUGACCCAAAAAGAAUAGUUACAACAAGUACUCAGCUAGCUAGCAUGGAAUUAUUGCAACACAUUUAUAUUGUGUUAAUAUAUAGGAGCAUAACCAAGUGAUGGUAGUUCAAUGGUUAGGGCUUAUUCGUCUAUAACAGUAAUUGUUUUCCCCUGGAUGCACAUUCUUUUUUAGCACUACGGAUCGACUAAUCCCAUAGGAGCACACCUGCAUAUCUUCUUAAACAUCUAGAAUAGUGAGAGGCGAGCCCAAGGCCAUACUAGUGAGAGUGCAUAAACCCCAAACAAGCCCAAAGUCCAUAAGCAUCAUUUUAAUUUUUAAGCGAAUGCAAAUUUACGCCUUAAGUCUUAUGUUUAUUAGGGAUAACAAUGUGGUCCUAACAGUAUAUAAGAGAUAUAGGCCAUCCACUAAUUGCUAAUUGAUUUUGAAUUGGAAGCCCAUAUUCUAAUAAUGUUGUCUUCCUACCAUCCGGCCACCAUCCUGAGGUAGGAAAAUAUGUUCCUAACUGAUAGGGCUCGAACCUAGGCCCCCAAGCACAAAGGAACCCCUAGACCACGAGCCUCUCAACACCAGUACAGAAUUCACAUGGUGAGUAUAGAUUUCAAAGAUUAGUUUAGAAUUUCAGUUACAAAAAUGAAAUAUAUAAAAACUUGGAAUGACACAUAUGGAAGAUGGCAAGGCUCGAUUGAAGAUGUCGCAAAACUCACAAAUGAGAGUCUAGAGGAACACUUACUCAGUGGCUAAUGUCUCUUCACAUAGAACCCUUAUCAUUUCUAGACCACGCUUUACCCUCAAAAGGUUUCUUGUAUGACUACCAACUUUCCUAACACGUUUUGCCUCAAUAUCUCUAUCAACCAUUGCCUCUAAUGUCAAUGUUGAGGGUGAUGCCUUGGCAAGAUCAUUAACCUAAGCAAAGAUUUUAUUUCAAUAUUUCCAGCCAGUUAGUGGGAACACAAUGAACAAUUCGUAAAGAAAAGACACGAAGGAAAAAAAAAAAAUCUAACAUUUCUAUACAGAACUUUAUAUUCUGUAUAACAAUGUCUUCAAUAUAUUUCAUGAAUACUACUCUCGGC
rnacentral:lncRNA from 1 species